UCCGGACAGAUCCCCCAAAGUUGCCCCAAAUUUGGGGGAGUGGGGUGUCCGUUUGUCCUCUAUCCAGGCCUAGCCCACGAACCUUUUUUCUUUCCACAAUCUCCUCCUCCUCCCGAUUCUCUUCGUUCCCCACAUCGUCGUGCUCCUGUGCUCUUUCCCCACCCGAGCUCCCCCAUGGACGACAGGAAAGCGGAGGCCGAAUCCCGCCGUCCCUCCCAUCACUUCCUCGCGCCCGGCCACCGACCCGGCCCCUUCGCCCCCUUCGGCUCCACGCGCCCUCGCCGCCAUGGGAGGUGAUUCCUUGAUCUACCAGGCCUUGCUCUACCAGCCGCAAGGCUAGGUGUCGGAUCCACCAAGAACACCGGCAGCUACCACUGCUCCCCCUCUUCCCUUCCUCCCUCUCCCUGGCACCGCCCCUUCUCUUCCCUGCCUCCCUCUCGGCCGAGCAACGGCGGGGUGGUGCGGACCAACCGGCGGAGGCGGUGGAGCGACUCCCACACGACAACGAGGAGGCGAGCCAGAAGUGGCGUCGCUGGAGUGCGCGGAGCUUUCAGUGGGUCUGCCGGCGCGUUCGAUGGCAGUCGGUCAGCGGCACCAUCAUCAACAACGGCUUCUCCUACUUCCACCACCGAUACACACGCGCCAUCUUUGCCCCCUACUAUUGGAUACGAUGCUGCAUCGAUUCUACCAGCCACCUGUGAGUGCACCUUUGUAGUUGAAUUACCAGCAAUGUACGUGUGUUCUGUGUUCUUGUGCGCUUGGAUUGGAAGAUGGCAGUGGUGUCUUGGACAAUUGUAUUUGUUCUGCAAUUGUAUCCGAAGAUCUGCUAUGCAAUUGUAUCCGAAAAUCAUAUGUAUUUGUUCUGCAAUUAUAUAGUAUGUUUCUGUUGAAUGCAAAAUAAAAUAAGUUGGGCAUGUAGUUGUCCGUUUUGGGGGACGUUGUUGGGUGACGGGGGCGGACGCCGGGUGGACACAUGUCCACUUGCCCCCGCCUAAACGGACAAAAAAAAAAGGACAUUUAGGGACAAAAUUUGGGGGGCCAUUGGAGAUGCUCUUAGUCUUCUGGUAGUCCACUUCCUCCUUCCAAUCCUCCAUUAUCCUCGCCCAAUCCUCCUCUCAGUCGCAGCCACAUCUGACAAGUCGCCCGCCGGAGCAGCUUCCGCAACCUAGGAACAAUGCUCGCCUGCCCUAGCCGCCUCCCCUGACUCUGCCUCUCCAGAUUGACGCGCAAGCGACGAGCUCACCGACGACGUCCUAGUCAGCGAGAUCGGCCCGUACAGUCUCGCGGUCUCCCUCGAAUCCUCGAUCUCCCUCGACGGCUCGAUCCCCCUCGAUGGCCCCUCCUCCGCAGGUUCGAUCUCCCUCGAUAGCCAGAACAGGCUGAAUUGGGUGCUCCAAUUCUUGGCUUCGGUUCGGUACAACUUGUACCAAUGGGCUUCCGGCCCAGCAGCCAAUGGGAGCAGCACCGAACUUUUUUCGCUCCACCAACCACGCUGGAAUCGGGAUUGGGAAGCUGGAUCGGUGGAUUUCGUGAAGUGGGAGGACUUCCGAACACUCCCUAAGUAACCACACACGGCGUCCCGCCUCAAGUAAGGAGCCACGCCGAUGGAGGAGAUGAAGCGGACUGCCGAAGAGGAGAAAGGGGGGAGAGGAAAAAAAGUUGGAAUAGGUGGGGGUGAGGGCGACACGGCAGUUUGUCGGACACAAAAGAGACCUCAUAAAAAAACACACAUUCAUGGAUGAAAUUUGAUACUGUACUAACCCCAUUCCCUUCCAUAUAUAUGUUCCAAAGGAAAUUCGGAAUUUAUUUAUACGGGCAGUAAAGCGAGGUCCAGCGACUCCCGCGCGUCCCGGUGUUCAGCUCUGUUGGUCUAUGGACGCCCCCACAAGGCCACAACAACCGCAAACAACAAAUCGCAGGGAGGGAAGGGAGGGAGUCCUUCUUUUCCUUUUUGUUGCUCUCUCUCCUGAUGGGAACGGAGCAGCCGCGUCCGCGAGGCGCUGGCCAUAGAUUUCCUCGCAGCCAUCACACCGCGACAUGCUACUGCCACCCAUCCAUCCACCACCAUGCCAUCCGACUCCGACUCCGGGCCAUGCCCCCUGUAGUACCCACCCGUAGCCCGGUCAACAUAAGUCGCCGCCCCACCCCAGCGCCCCCGCCCCAAAUCCCAAUCUUCCCCUGCAAUCCCUAGCCGCCUCCCGCCGCUCCGACGAGAUGCAGGCCGCCGCCCCACGCCUCCGUCACCGAUGGGUCAAGGAGUGGUUCGUCUCCCAACACCCACCACGCCCUUCCUCUCUCUCUCUCUCCCUCGAAAAAAUCUAGUCCGCUUCUCUCUCUCUCUAUUGGGAGCUUUCUUUAGCUUCCGGUUCAUGUGAUUUGGAUCUGAAUUUGUUUGCGCUGCUCGCUCGCCUAGGAUUCCGCAAGACCUGGUCAUCGCCGGCGGCCCGUGCGCGCUUUACAAGUGGGUGCGAGGUACGCUAAUCCUACCUACGUGACCUUCUUCUUGCUGCUGUCAAAAAAAAAAAAAGAUUCAACCUUUCUUGCUGUGACGUACUGUUGCUUAGCGUCAUCGUGCCUGCGGUUGCGACUCGCAAUGACCUUCGGCUGUGGUUGUGGUUUCCGUUGCUUAAAUUGCAUUACAUCAGAGGUUUAUCAGAGGCUUUGGUUUUGGUUCUGCUAGCCUAAUUGCGCCUCACUUUAGGCCACCUGUUUACUUGGUUGUGAAUAGUUACCCUGAUAUGCGAUACGGGUGCAGCUCUGGAUAAUGUAUGUGUAUUUAAAAGCAAAAACAAAAACAAAAACAAAAACAAAUUGAGAGCAGCGGCAACAGGAGUGGAAGAGAGAGGAUAGACCUGAGGUAGGAUUGUAUCAUUAUCCAUUUGUAUUGGUUCUGAGGUAUACAGAUACCCAUUUGUAUUGAACAUUUACUGAGAAUCAAAUUUGAGUAGUCCUGGGCUCAGAGACUAUAGACCUGAGGAUAGACCUGAGGUAGGAUUGUAUAGAUACCCAUUUGUAUUGGUUCUGAGGUGUACAGAUACCCAUUUGUAUUGAACUUUUACUGAGAAUCAAAUUUGAGUAGUCAUGGGCUCAGUGAAGUAUCAUAAUUUUAUUCAUUUAUUUUGGAUUUCUAAAUCCACCAAUACUUCCCGAUAAAGUGAUACGAAAUCAUGGUAUAUCACCGUAUCAAUGUUGUAUCUACAGCCAGUACGGAACCUCGGAGUAGUAUCAGGAUAAACCUAGGUUGCGGCUUCCUGAAUAGUGAUUAUGGGUCGGUGAGAUAGUAUGUGAUAUGUUUUCACCAUUUAGAUUGUAAUUAUGUGUCUCUGUUUGUUCUACCAGUUGCAUGAAGUAUUUAUCUGCCCUCUUACUGAUGUAGUCUACUGCAAAAAUUCUUGACGCGGAACAGUACACAUUGACAGGAAGCUUGUGAAGUUUCUGACUUUCUGUAGUCUGUUCAGACUUCAGAACCAAUAAACUGACUAGUUGAGCAAUGAGUUCACUCGAAACAAGUAGCAGAAGUUGAUAUUCAAUAUGGAGGUCGCCAUUAGCAUGUCAAAUCAUUUCGGUUCAAAUUUAAGUGUUUGGUGUGGGCAAUUUGCAUUAUCCCACUCCUGUUCUUUGUUUACAACUUAUUUAUGAACGAUUUAGAAAUCUCGUGCAAUCUUCAAUGAGGACAAAAUAAUGGAUUUUCAUUCUGGCAUGAUGUUUGCUUUUGAUUUAGCCUUCUCAUUCUGAUAAUGUUUUUACAUUAUUCCUCUACAGAGGAUAGGUUGUCUGCUCUGAAAGCCAAGGACAAGGAACAAGGGGCAGACACUGCAAAGCCUGAACCGACCACUGAGGUGCUUUUCCUAUGCAGCUAUGACGGCUGCGGGAAAACUUUUGUUGACGCGGGGGCUCUUAGGAAACAUGCGCACGUCCAUGGGGAGAGGCAGUAUAUCUGUCAUUAUGAUGGAUGUGGCAAGGUAUUGUGUCAUAUUUAUCAGUCUUGCAUCCAUAUGGCCGUGACAUUGUUGGCUUGUUGCCACUGAGUUGCUUAUCUAAAGUUUGUUGCUAAAUCUGUUUUUGCAGAAAUUUUUAGAUAGCUCAAAAUUGAAGAGGCAUUUUCUUAUUCAUACAGGAGAGAAGAACUUUUUCUGCACUUAUGAAGGUUGCGGCAAGGUAAUUACCAUGUUUUCUUGGUUGUAUCCGUUAUGCUUUUCUUUACUGAAAUUUCGUUAAUCAUGCAUGGAUAUUUUUUAUUGAAAAGCUCGAUGCUCGGUUUCUGUUUGAGUUCAACUCUUCUUGUCUUGGAGCUAUGGCCAUUUCAUUAUCUUUCUGUUGGCUGUUUGGGUUGUUAUCCAGUAAGUGCAUUUUCCCACACACCAUAUGAAAUUUUCACAUGCACACUAGAGAGAAAAAUUUCACAUCCUCGCAGUAUUUUCUGCAAUUGAAGAUAUUCUCUGAGUCAAGAGAAUGUCCAGUGGCUGUGUUGUAGAUAGGGAUGCAAACAAGAUCACGCAUAUAUCCUGUUUCUAUUCCAACCUUCAAAUCUUCAAGUCAAAAUUUGAGCAUUUUUUUUUAACUAGUAAGUCAAUUAAUCAGGAUAAGUGAGAUCCUGCUUGCAUCCGUAGUUGAAGAUAUCCAACCCCUGAAGGCAGGCCUUAGAUCUUCCGUUUAAAUUCAUGCAAUAGAUCCCUGUGUCAAUUUAUUCUCCUUUUACAGUUGUACUGCCUGAACUGGAUGCCCGAUGUAUGGUUUUGUUUACUGGAAAUGGAAGCGGGGAGCCAUGCUAUCUGAUCAUCUAAAAAAAUAGGACGGGAAUUUUCAGUGCAUCUCUGUGCAACCUAACCUAAAUAGUGUUUCAGAACCCAAAUAAUACCAGCAGCUGUCUGCAUUCACUCUCGUACUUUUCGAGAUUUCUGUUAAGCUUAGUAGGUUGCGCUGGAUAUGACACUGGCGUUCUCUUUUUAGCAGUGGAUUUUGGGAACUUAUGUAAUGUGCUUUCGGUCCUGGUUAUUUCAGGCUUUCUCGUUGGAUUUUAAUUUAAAGGCACACAUGAAAACACAUUUUGCGGAUAACUACCAUCCAUGCCCGUACCCAGAAUGCGGUCGAAGAUUUACACAGGAAUCUAAACUGAGGGCUCAUUUCAGGACACAGCAUGAGAAGGUACGAUGUAUGGAUAUUUAUAAAUUUGCCACUUACCACAGAACCUCUACUUACAAAACUAAUAAAGGCUGGUGCGCAGAACCCAGGUAUGCCUGCUGCAAUGAACCGCAAUGCACUAGGAGAUCACCCCCAUAACACAGUGAAACCUCCUCCGGUAACGCCUCCAGUUCCUUCGGCUGAGCGCCCAUAUGUCUGCCCCUACGACGGUUGUGCCAAGGCAUACAUUCAUGAGUACAAACUAAACCUCCAUUUGAAGAAGGAGCAUCCCAACCACUUCUCGGACGCUGGUGCUCAAGCUGGUCCUUCGAGGAGCACCGCGUCGAAGAGUUCCCGCAGAAGCAGACCGAGCGCCACGGCCAAGAUGCCAUUGCCAAAGAUCCCCAAGCGCGGUGCUGAAUAUACAACACCAUCACCAGCUAUCAACAUCGCUGAGGAGCACCAAUGGCCAAGGAAAGUGCUGUAUGACGAUGACAGCGAGGAGACGGAGGAAGAGGGGGAUAAACCGGCAGAUAUGGGAUGGGGGCGCAUAGCUGCCAGCAGCGAUGAUGAUGAUGAUGAGGAGACAGAGGAUGAAGAAUGACCACAAAUUGAAAUUUUGAAUCUUGGUAGUUGUGCACAUAAUUCGUAAGCUUUGGUUAUAGUUUAUUCAUACGUGUACAAUAUAUCUGAAUAAGGUUGGCUAGGAGGUAGGCAAGGAAAAUGGAGAGUUGGCAUAUGCAGGUUCUGAAGGUGGCUUCCCGAUGCCAGGUUAUUAACUUUGGGAAGGAUACUAUGCACUGUUUGGUUAUAGAUCAUUAUUUGCAUCCUUAAUAUGCAUUGCGCUUGAGUGUUAAGAAGCGCACGCGUGGAUUGAAAUCUGUCAGUGGUUGGGUCGGUUCUUUUGUGUUGCAGAAUAACCAUUCGUCUAAUCAUGUUUCUUUGGAAAAAGAUGGCGACGUUCAAGUUGGCAAAGCGCGUCUUUGUGCCCUUUGCCUUGGUAAGCUGUAUGCAUAUCCUGUGUCAUUAACAUUGCAACGGCAAUGUGGCAAUGUGGUUCUAUGUCAAGCCGUCUCUUUGUCCCUUGUCGGAGACGAGAGGUAAUCUUGGCGCAAGCAGCCAAGCGUGGCGUGGGCAUGGGGAGCAUAUGGAGCCAAUAUUCAAACGACGAUGUGCAUUUCCUUAUGUUUUCGAGAAUAACGCAAUCAGCCAUCGGUUCUUUGAUCUGAUCAGAUCACAUGAGAUGGCACAUUGCAUUGGUUCUUACACCCGAAAAGACAGAGAGCGUCCAUCUCCCAUUCGCUUAUUUUGACUUGCAGUGCUUAUAAAUUCCUUCGAUUCGUGGUAAAGGCCUAUGUUGACCAAUUGUUCUCUUUCUUAGCGUCAGCUCCGAUCCCGAGACUUCGUGGACCACAAAAAGAUUCUAAAAUUGCACUUUCCGUGCAUGCGUGUGGCCCGCUCCUAAUGUGGAAUCUACAAUGGCCUUGCUCCACUGCCUCCACAUACAAUUGUACUUGAAAAAAAAAUGUUUAGUGAGUUUUUGUUGCACAUAUUAGUGAGAAAUAAAUAUUUUGGGCCAUGAAAAAUAUUUACAUUCUUUCUUUUUUACGGCCAGCUAAAAUAUUUACAUUGGUUCAUGUUUUUUUUUACAUUUGGACGCCUUUGAGUUUCUGAUCGCUAUUCCCUCUGAUCCUAAAUUCUUGACUCAAUUUUGUUCAAAUAUGGAUGUAUCUAUUCUUAAAAAACGUCUACAUACAUGUAAUAUUUCGACAACAAUUUAGGAUCGGAGGGAGUAUUUUUCUAAGAAAAGCAAGAACACUCUUAGAGCUACCAUGCGGCAAACAUGGUAAGCUAUUUUCAAAUUUUCAAAAAUAAAAAAGAACAUGCUUUAAGCCAAAAAAAUAGCACCAUAAAAAAUGAAAAUGAAAAUCUCAGAGUCUUCCUGGCGGCAGUCUGUACUAUGCACUGUACAAUGUUAAUGCUUCCUCAAAACCUCCCCCAGUCUCCUGCCAUGCAAGCAAGCGAAGCAACCCACCUCGCACACCUCCAGAGCAACGAGAAGAAGAAACAACCCAUUCCUCUCUCUCGCCGUCGCCAAUGGCCUUCGUCGGCGGCGGCGCUGCAGCAGCGGCCGCUCUCGCCGUUGCCUUCCUGCUCCCCCUCCUCGCCGCCGCCUCCGACUCCGACCACAAGGUAACGCACCAGCUUGCUUCCCCCUCCAGUACCGCGCGCUCUGCUGGAACGUGCGCAUGCGCGUCUCUGCCAAGCCCGUGGAGCGGUGGCACCCAACUCCGAGCAGUUGGUUUCGUUCGCGGUAUGGGGUUCCGCCGGUUGCUAGAUCUGUUGCUCGCUCGGCGGCAGAUCUGCGUGGCGCGGCCUCCAGCAGACGGGAUCUCUGGAUAGUCCUCGUGCUGGAUCGGGGUGGUCAUUUGGUUUUGGUUGCUAGAUCUUACUCCACUUUGUUGGCUAUGGACUAUUGGAAUCGCGAUUUCGUAGGUGGGGAGCAAGACGAGCAACAGCAAUGUGGGGGGGUUGCAUUGCUAACGUUCUAAAAUUUCGAUGUCCUUGCUGUUAUAUUCUGUCCAUAUGGUUUGGGCAAACGAUCCUUUGUUGCAUUGCUGAACUGUUGCUUCUUCUAUAAAGUGCCUAUAGUCUGCACGGUUUAGCUUGCAGCUGCAAUUCUGUAUUUCAUGUUCGAUAAUGUCUGGACUCUGUACCUAUGGUAGUGUAUGUUAGGCCUUGGAAAGAGCUUUUGCCCAGAGCAAUUAUUGUUUCAAGCUGUGUGACCUUGUCAAUUGCCUCGUGCUCUUUUUUUUUGUGCAGUACCAAGAGGAAGAUCCGGUUACGCUCUGGGUGAACAAGGUUGGUCCCUAUAACAACCCGCAGGAGACGUACAACUACUACAGCCUUCCAUUUUGCCACAAGUCAGAUAACCCUGUGCACAAAUGGGGAGGGCUUGGUGAGGUCCUCGGAGGGAAUGAACUGAUUGAUAGCCAGAUUGACAUAAAAUUCAGAAGUAAGCGAAUUAUCCCUUGUUGAUUGUUGUUUCGUCUCGCUUCAGUCUUGAAUGUUGAAAUGGGAAGGUUUAAAUGUGUUGUUAAAUUGGAUCGUGGUUUAUAUCAGAGAAUGUUGAUAAGGAUACCAUAUGUUCGAUGGAACUUGAUCCUGACAAGGCCAAGCAAUUAUCAGAUGCAAUUGAGAAUUCAUACUGGUUUGAAUUCUUCAUCGGUAAGCUGCCUAGUUCCUUUUAUUGCGUUAACAUGCCUACUUGCCUUCUAAUUUACAAUAGAAUUUCGGUGAACUCUGCCUUACUGAAUUAAUUGUUACUCUUUUCUGAAUAUGCUGCUCGGCAUUUUUUGCUACAAUCAAGAUGAUUUGCCUCUCUGGGGUAUGUAUAUCCUCUUCAUUUCGUAUAGCUGAUUAUCCCUCUACAUCACCUUCAAUAGGCUUAUCCUUUUUUGAAUUGGCCUAUUCAGGUUUUGUUGGAGAAGCAGAUAAAAACAAUGAUAACAAAUAUUUUCUUUUCACUCACAAGAACAUUCUCAUCAGAUACAAUGGCAAUCAGGUUUGUGUUUCAUGAGCUUUUAUCAUUUCCCUUUUACAGAACCUUCAAAUUUCGAUUAUCAUUUAUAAUCGCUGCUACUUUCAUGCAGAUUAUCCAUGUUAAUCUUACUCAAGAAAGUCCAAAGCUUAUUGAUGCGGGUAAGGCAUUGGAUAUGACAUAUUCUGUCAAGUGGGAACCAACAAAUGUAAUGUUUGCUCAUCGCUUUGAUGUAUACCUUGACUAUCCUUUCUUUGAACACCAGGUAAUAACAAGAAUUGACUCUGCUAUUAAAGCAAAUUUCUUCACUUUGUUUCAUAUGAAUGUUGUUAUUUCCCCCUGAUCUAAUCCUUUGCCAGCUUCAACUAUUGUUCCUAUUUAUCUUGUCAACGCACAUGCCAUGUUCCUGUAGAGUUUUCUGAUCAUUUCCUCUGACCACGAAUAUUGUUCUUGACUGCAGAUACAUUGGUUUUCAAUCUUCAAUUCUUUUAUGAUGGUUAUCUUUCUCAGUGGGCUAGUGUCGAUGAUAUUGAUGCGCACUCUAAGAAAUGAUUAUGCAAAGUAUGCCCGUGAUGAUGAUGAUCUGGAAACUCUGGUGAUUGAUUAUCUGUACAAAUAAAAGACAAAUUCUGUUAUGCAAGCUAUGAUUUCCUGACUCUAGUUUUGCACCCAUAAACUAUUUUCAUAACAGGAAAGAGAUGUCAAUGAAGAAUCUGGGUGGAAGCUUGUUCAUGGGGAUGUUUUCCGGCCUCCUCGCAGUUUAGCUCUUCUUUCAGCUCUCGUCGGUAUUGGUACACAGUUGUCCGCUCUUAUUCUGCUAGUGAUUCUGUUGGCAAUCAUCGGAAUGUUGUACAUUGGGUAUGCACGUACUUUGUUCUGUUGCUAUAGUUGAUGUCUUUCUCUUUACAAGCAGCUUCUAGUAAAUGCGCCAGUUUAAUGAAGCCACCUGCCUUGGCCCCAAAGUUUUCUCCUGCUUGUAACUUGUUUUGCCAAGCCAAAUAACGAGAGUACUUCAGUUUUAAACACUAAAUCUUUUAUGCACAAAUACUACUGCAUCAAGCAUAAAAUUGUUGCUGUUCUGCAUGCUGAGGAACUUAUGCAUGUCACUCUGGGUUGUACCAAGCUUUAGCAAAAGAUAUUGACAUCUAGUAUUUCAAAUUAAUACACUAUGAAAAUACAUUUCAUGAUAGAUCUAAUGGUCUUGAUUUGACACUAGAUAUUGAUGGCUUUUUCUGUAGCAAGUUUGACAGUCAACAAAAUUAUAUGCCUUAUAUUUUGGAUCGGAGGGAGUAGUAUACAUGGAGUUGGUUGAAACACACCGCCUUCCAAACAUUUCCAAAUUGUAUCUAUUAUAAUAUUUAUCAACUGGAAAUCAAUUCCGAAAUAUAUUUCUUGAACUUGUUCUAACUACAGCCUCUCUAUGUAGAUUUUUGUUCCAAGUUACUGAAGAAACAUUGUCAAAUCAAUGUUAUGUCGAACUUUAGAUAAGCAGAUAAGUUAGCUGUGCGUAGAACCAGACUUGUUUGAUGGACAGUCUAGUUGCUCGAACAGUUUCUUAAGUUGAAUUUUAACAACAUAGUUCACAUUUUUUUAUUAAAACCUACAGCCUCCUCAGGAAUAAAAGCUGAAGACUUAUUCUUAUAAUUUAUUUGCACUGGGUGCUCCUUUGAAACCCUGGUGCUGUAGCACUAAGUUUACUUUCACUUUGUAUAUCUUGACUAUCUGUCUAUAUUUCAUAAGCAUUGUGUUACUUUUCUGUAUAAGCAUUCUAAAUCUUCUUUGUAAUGCUAUGCAAAACUGUCUCUCACACCUUGUUUUCUUUCCUGCCAGGCGAGGAGCUAUCGUCACAACAUUCAUUGUUUGUUAUGCACUUACUUCAUUCAUUUCUGGAUAUGUUAGUGGUGCCCUAUACUCACGACAUGGGGGUAUGAACUCCAGUUACCUAGAAUCUUAAACGAUACCACACCUAUGAUUCUGAAAGUGCUUAUAUCUGAUCAAGUCAUUUCUUUAAUGAGCAGGGAAGAACUGGAUCAAGUCAAUGAUCAUGACAGCAUCACUGUUCCCAUUUAUGUGCUUUGGAAUUGGCCUAGCGCUCAACACUGUUGCUAUAUUCUACCGAUCAUUAGCUGCUAUACCAUUUGGCACAAUGGUGGUUAUGUUCAUCCUUUGGGCCUUCAUCUCUUUCCCUCUUGCUCUUUUGGGAACUGUUGUUGGUAGAAACUGGAGUGGUGCCCCAAAUAAUCCAUGCAGAGUGAAGACUAUUCCGCGUCCUAUCCCUGAGAAGAAAUGGUACCUCACGCCUUCUGUAAUUGCCCUUAUGGGAGGAUUGCUUCCUUUCGGCAGUAUCUUCAUCGAGAUGUACUUCGUCUUCACAUCGUUUUGGAAUUACAAGGUAAAAAGGACAAUGCUGUUUCUUCAUUGCCUCUAUUUUGUUCAUAUACUUAUUUGGUAAAGAGCCCUGCCAGUUGGGAGUCGAGACUGAUGCCUCCUUUCUGAUCAUCUAUUGGCAGGUGUACUAUGUAUACGGGUUCAUGUUGCUGGUCUUUUUGAUCCUCCUAAUUGUCACCAUCUGUGUAACAAUUGUUGGUACAUACUUCUUGCUCAAUGCUGAGAAUUACCACUGGCAAUGGACCUCAUUCUUCUCUGCUGCUUCCACUGCCGUUUAUGUUUACCUCUACUCCAUAUACUAUUACAAUGUGAAGACCAAGAUGUCAGGAUUCUUCCAGACAAGCUUUUACUUCGGCUACACUUUGAUGUUCUGCCUAGGUUUAGGAACACUUUGCGGUAAGCUCUUCUUCACUGACAGCAUGUACAAAACCAAGUAUUGGAUGGUUUCAAUUGACACAUGUUGGAAUUUUGAUCCAGGUGCUGUAGGAUACCUUGGAUCGACAUUGUUCGUGAGAAGGAUAUACAGGAACAUAAAGUGUGACUAAAGAUUGGCCACAAUUAUACUGGUGGGGGGAAACUGUCUAUCAAUUCCUCGUUUCGACGAGGGGGCAUUGUUUCUGUGGCCAAGAAGCCAGGGCAUUUGUGAAAUCUGAUCAUUAUUUGACAGCAAGCUGGGCAGCCGUGGUUUUUAUGUGUUCUUGUCCCUUUUGUUCCAUCUGCGCCCCUCUUCGGGGCUAAAAAUUUUCAUGCUCAAUGAGUUAUAUAGUUGUGAUCAUAGUUGCUAAGUAGUAGUCUAGUAUAUACAGCAGUUGUUAUUCUUAAACCCAAUGGGACAUGUAUUUUGUCUUGUAAAACUGUAAGAUCGAUGAUACUAGUGAUAUUUGAUAAUGAACACUGCUCGAAGUAUAUUUAUCAUGCUUGUGCUUUCUGGGACGCAAAACUACAGAAAGAAAAUUGGAUGAUUCAGUUAGUCGUUCUUUCUUCUACAAAAUUGUUAUCUGAAUUAAAUUGUCGUUUUAUACUCCCUUUGUCUCAUAUUAAGUGACUUUUUAUUACAUGUAUCUAGACACAUUUUAUGUGUAGAUACAUCCAUAUUUGGACAAAAUUGAGUCACUUAAUAUGGGACAGAGGGAGCACAUGUCUUUUUUUUGUGAAACAUAAUGUUCAUCACCUGAAUUCAAUAGUUACAGGCAAGUCCUCUUUUUUUGUGAAACAUAAUGUUCAUUCAUCAUUAAACAGCAAUAGAGUAGUCAUGCUGAAUACAACCGGUUGAAAACACCGGCACCUGGGACUCCCGGCACACUAUGGUACAGAGAUAGAUGCACAUUCAGCAGUAAGGUAUGCUGCAGCGCAAAUCCUUUGGAAACAGGCCUUGUCAGAGAAAGGGGUGGAGGGCGCCAAAACCAGAGCUUUAGGUGUUGAAGGGCAUCCAGCCGUUGGAUGAGUAAAUCGUACGGUUCUGAACUGUGUCGUGCCAUUUGCACUCUAGUAAGAGAGCAGAAGAGCUGAAGAGGGUGUGUUUGGUUUGAGCGACCUGACAAAAUUUGGCUUACCCAAAAUAUUGGUCUUGAUCUUACUUGCCCAUAAAUUAACAACUUUAGUAAAAAAAUGAAAUAGAGUCGGCUAAAAGUCAAAUAUUUAGGGUCAAUCGACAACAAUUAAAAAAAAAAACCAAAUUUUUGUCGAGGCCAAAAAAUUCCCAUGUGCCGCAUUGGCCACCAAAUCAUGCGAAGCGCAUACCAGAUAGCAGUGGCCCCCAGGCUGCCUUCUCCUCCAGAGCGCCCUCUCGCGGCUGCCCGCUCCUCGCCGAGCUCGCGCGCCCGCAGCCGCUUCCCUCGCCCUCUACUCCCGCGUUCGCGCUGCCACCACACCCACACCCAGACACCCUUCACCUUCUCCCUCCUCCUCGCUGCCCUCGACUCGUCCCAUCCCACCAGGCCACCACCUCCUCCUACGGCAGCGCCCGCCUCGCCACGCCCGUCGCACACGCGCCGGCGCUCAAGUGCGGAGCGCUCGCGCACGCCGUCGUCACCAACUCCCUCCUCAAGCUCUACUGCGCCAUCGGCCUCCUCCCCCACGCGCGCAGGGUGUUCGACAAGGUUGCCGCUCUGGACGUGGCCUCCUGGAACACGAUGGUGUCCGGGUACGGCAAGAGCGGUGACCUGCCGGCAGCGCGGGAGGUGUUUGGCAGAAUGCCGGAGCGGAACCUGGUGUCUUGGAGCGCGAUGAUCGACGCGCUUGUGCGUGCUGAGGAGUUUGGCGAGGCGCCGUCCGUGUGUGAUGAGAUGAUGGGGGAGGGUGUCAAGCCGGAUGUGGCGGUGCUGGUGAGCAUGCUCAAGGAGUCAAGGCGUGUGCACAUCUUGGUCCGGUCAAGAGGGGUCGGUGGGCCCAUUGGUAUCUGGAAAGCGAGGGGUUUGUGGGGAGGCAAAGGAAUGUCAUGGUUUAGACGGCACUGAUGGACAUGUACUGCAAGUUUGGGUGCAUGGAGGAGGCGUGGUGUGUUUUCGACGGCAUUCGCUUCCAUGACGUUGUGCUGUGGAAUUCAAUGAUAGGAGGGCCUGCAAUGAACGGCCAUGGUCACCGUGCACUUGAGUUGUUCCAAAUGAUGCUCCAAAUCAGCCGACGUUUGUUGCUGCUUUCUGCGCGUGUGCCCACACAGGCCAUGUGGACGAAGGGAGUGCGAUUUUCAAGUCCAUGCGGCACCAUGGAAUCGAGCCACAGAGGGAGCACUAUGGGCGCCUUGCUGAUGGCUUGGUGGGCGCAUGGACAAGGCUGAGGCUGUAUUGCUGGAUAUGCCAAUGAACCACAUGCCUUGCAAUGGGGUGCGCUGAUGUUGUCAUGCCAGAUGCACAAUGUUAUUACUGUCGGAGAAUAUGUAGGGAAACGGCUCAUUGACCUAGAGCCACAUGAUGGUGGACAUGAUGCCGUGCUGUUUAACCUGCAUGCAGCCAGUGGUCGAUGGGAAGAUGGAAGAGCAAUUCAGCAGAUGAUGCUGGAGAAGGGAGCCAAGAAAGAUGCGGGUUUGAGCCUCAUGGAAUGAAAUGGUUUGGUUCCACGAUCCACACUCCGGACAAGGCAGAUCUAUUCCCUGCAGAAAGGUACGAAUAACUUAGACUAGUACUACCUCUGUUCCUAUAUAUAUAUAAGAUGUUCUAGGUUUGUCCUAACUCGAAUUUCUUAAAGUUUAACCAAGUUUAUAGAAAAAUAUACUAAUAUAUUCAAUUUCAAAUAAGUAUACUAUGAAAAUAUAUAUCAUAAUGGAUUUAACAAAACUAAUUUGGAGUCGUAGAUCUUGAUGAUAUUUUUUUCUAUAAACUUGGUCAAACUUUAAAUUUUUUGACUUAGGACAAACCUAGAAAAUCUUAUAUUUAGGAACUGAUGGAGUACUCUGUAAGUAAUUGUGAGCCAGAGCAAGUAUAAAGCGCAUGUGGUACAUACGUUUUUCGAUAAAGGGUAUCGUUACAGACAUACAGUACCUAGCUACAGUAUUCAACGUUCUGCACAGACAGGUAACCCUCACCCCGAACAGCUACCUAUUCUCCAGCAGAUCAGCAGCAAAAACACAAGCUACCGACAGGCCCGAUGACACUUCUUCUGUACAAGUGUUUUUUCUUCUGCUCCAUUUCUGCACAUCAGCGCCUCCGUAAGAUCGUUGCUUUUCCAUCUUGGUGACACCGCACCAGGCUCUCCAUUUUCAAGGCAAUUGUAGUGCACUACCUGCAGCCCCUGUUCAACUGCAACGUAUUCUUGCCAUAAAGCAAGAACCCGGAGAAGAUGGUAGGCAGGCAGAUGCUGAUGCUCGCCAUCCACCCCGACCCCGGUCGUAGUUUUUGGCACAAUAGCCAAUUCCGCAAUCCCAUUCCUCAUCCUUUCUCCCGUCAUUCUGAUGAUCCACAUGGGACUUAUUUUUUGAAGUGAGCAUGCCUUAGUCUACCAAUCAGUGUUUUGUGUAUCCAUCUAAUUUCUGACGCAUUAAUCCAAAAAAUUGUUUAAUGCUGAUUGCAGGAUACCGAAAAGUCGAAGUUAAACAAUUGCGUAUGGAUCACCUGUGCAUAAAAUGUAUAAAGACUCCAGACAGAGACAUUUUAAUUAAAGAAUAAGGUGUCAGCUCCAUCACGUUGUACUGGGUUCUCACUCAUGGCAAGGAAACAAAGUAAGAAUGGUGCACAUGGUAGUUGCACAUGUCAACUGCAAACAUUGUUUAAUUUGAUAAAUUUUCAUGGGGAUGAGGAUGAGGUUGAGGUCAACUGUCAUAUAAAUCCCCCCUAAGGGCGAACCAACGCAAGAACAUAGGCAUAGAUGGGUGUUACUGCCUUCUUCUACAUCUUGCUGUCCCUCUGGGUUCAAGAUGCAGCUGCCAUUAUUGACUUCACAAGAUGUGAUUUUGCACAAGACUUCGUAUUUGGAGCUGGAACCUCAGCAUACCAGGUAAUACGAUGAAAUCUUGUUUAUUCUGAAAAUCAUGGUUUGCUAAAGUUUGAUGUUCCAUCUGCAUAUAGUACGAGGGUGCUGUUGCUGAGGAUGGAAGGAGCCCAAGCGAUUGGGACACUUUCACUCAUUCAGGUUUGUUGCUAACUUGCUGCUACCUAUUGUGUAAUUUAUCUUUCUGAUUUUGGGGUGCUGCUAUAAAAUUUGGCUGCAAGUUUCAUAAAAAGAAUUACUAUAGCAUGGUAGCAUGUGACUAUUUUUGUUAUUCCUCCGUCCAACAAAGGAUGUCUCAACUUUGACUAAAUUUGAAUGCAUCUAUACACUAAGUUAUGUCUAGAUACAUCCAAAUUUUGGCAAACUUGAGACAUCUUUUAUUGGACGGAGGGAGUGUUUGUUUUGUAUUUCGAAGGUCUAACAACAAGAGGUUUUCACAGUUACAUCAUUUUCAUGAUGAAUGAAGUAGAAAAUUGACCAAUUCCCUUUCAGACUAACACUUCCAUAGAAUCUCGUUUUUGUUACUAAAGUAGUACUAAAUUGAACAUGAUGAUAGGCCAUAACCGGCACCACAGGUGGUUGAGCAUUGUUGAUUUGUGUUGACAGGUAAAAUGCCAGACAAAAGCACAGGAGAUAUUGCUGCAGAUGGGUACCAUAAAUACAAGGUAAACAGUAAGAGAAAUCUUCUGCCCGUGUUUCGAAGUCUAUGUGUAUGCAUCAACUUUAGGACUAAUUCAGAAUUUCUCAGAUCUAGGCAUUCCAAAAGAAAUCAUUUACUUAUCUGAUAUUUCAGGAGGAUAUAAAGCUUAUAUAUGAGACAGGCCUAGAGGCCUAUAGGUUCUCCAUCUCCUGGUCAAGGCUUAUUCCAAGUACAGAAUUCGUCACAAGGUCCAUCAUGACAAGGCAGUUUAUUUUUCUAUUUUUUUUCUAACUGUUUCAGCAAAAUUCAUGGUUCACAGAUGGACGUGGGGCUGUCAAUCCCAAAGGGCUAGACUACUACAACAACAUCAUAGAUGAACUUGUCAAACGUGGUAAAUACUCUUUCCAUUUCUCUGUAUCUGUCCUUGACCUUGGGGGUCUCCGUUUCAAACUAUUUAUCCGGAAUUAAGAGUAGUUAAUUCAAUGCUUGUACUCUCAAUGUUUUAGAAUAAGUUUGCCAUUUGAUAAGGCUAUGCAUAUUCAUUUCAUUAACUCUUUUGUAGAUUUGGUUUUCCCUUUGUAUGCGCUCAUGUUGUACUCAAUGCAGGAUUAGGUUCAUGUGGUAGAUCUAAACAUCACUUUGUUUUAAGAGAUGUAUACACCAAUAAGUUUUUUUUGUCCAGGCAUUCAAACACAUAUCACACUUCACCAUAUAGAUCUCCCUCAAAUUCUUGAAGACGAGUAUGGUGGAUGGUUAAGCCCCAGAAUUAUGUAAGUUCAUACGAGGCUUUAGAAAAAGAGAGAAAUAACUUUCUUUUUGAGUGGCAAUUCUGUAGUAACAUGACAUGCUUACAACAUAAUUGUCCUAUUCAUAGUUUUGCACCUGCAAAAUGCAGCGAAGAUUUCACAGCUUAUGCGGAUGUUUGCUUCAGAGAGUUCGGAGAUAGGGUCAAAUAUUGGACUACAGUGAAUGAGCCAAACAUUGGUGCAAUUGCCUCUUACAGCAUCGGUCAUUUACCACCUGGCAGAUGCUCAGAUCCAUUUGGAAUAACAAAGUGCACAGUGGGCAACUCCAGCACCGAACCAUACAUAGCAGUUCAUACUACCCUAUUGGCUCAUGCAUCAGUUUUCAAACUGUACAGAGAAAAAUAUAAAGUGAGCGAAUGAUGUUGUACCAAAAAACUUAGCUUAGCUCAAUGGUGAAUCCAAUAUUUUCAGUCAUUGCACAUUAACCACAUCAUAACUCAGCUUUCGGAUACGCAUUUCAGUACAAUAUUGCCUUUUCCUGUUUUCUUUUCCAGUGCAAAAUUUUUGAGGUACGGACUCAUGAAAAAACUUUUGGAGCAGGCUGAGCAAAAAGGAGUCAUCGGCAUAAAUAUCUACUCCUAUUGGAGUUAUCCAUUCACAAAUUCCACUGUGGAUUUAGAAGCAACUCAAAGAUCUAAGGAUUUCAUGUUUGGCUGGUAUGGUAUUUACCUAAAUCUUACAGUAGAAGCAUGUCAAAUGCUUAAUCCUUGCCUGCUGAGAGCCUGACCGUGAUACUGACAGGAUACUGGAGCCUUUGGUGUCUGGGGACUAUCCUGAAGUAAUGAAGAAUAUUGUUGGCUCUCGCCUUCCAUCCUUCACAAUGGUUCAGUCUGGAUUAGUCAAGGAUUCUUUUGAUUUUUUUGGAAUAAAUCACUACUAUUCUUUCUAUGUGAGUGACCGGCCUAUGGAAACAGGUGUUCGAGACUUCUAUGGAGACAUGUCAAUUUCUUACAGAGGUAAAUAACUUUUUUGUUCUUCCCAUGGUGAUAGAUCAAAUUGUUGCUUAACUGCUACUAGUGAUUUUGUGGCAUAGUAUGUACUACCUCCGUUUCAUAAUUCUUGUCGAAAUCUUACAUGUAUCUAGACACUUUUUAGGAAUAGAUACAUCCAUUUUUGAGCAAAUUUGAGAUAAGAAUUAUGGAACGGAGGGAGUAGAAUAUAAUUCCUGUCUUAAAUUAUAAUAAGGUGCACACAGCAAACACUGCAAGAUAUGCAAAAUACUGAGAAGCUGCUACAAUGGAUCCUACUCUACUAAUAAUUGAAAAGCAGCCUUUCCUGAUCAAUGAGUCAUAUAACAUGGACAAUUCUCUGAGAGCAGUGUUCGGUCAUAAAUCACCACCAAACAUGUUUGCUGUCUUGAAAGUAUUGUUUUUCCAUCGAAUUACAUUUUUUUCUGCCACAAUUUUCUAGAUGGCAGAACUUUUUUUUGUUUGCUUGAGAAAUACAGUAACUCUAUGAUUGCACUUGUGUGCCUUUGUUGCUCUAACUAGAUAACUAUUUGUAUGCUGCAGCUUCUAGGACAGAUCCGCCAGCUGGUCAGGUAAAAUCUUGUCAUCGUGUGAAGUUGCCAACUCCAAUUCUUUUGACUGUGCACUGCAAAUAUUAAAUUAGAAAUACCAAACUAACUCAAGAGAUUAGAUAAAAAAUACGCGCUUAAAAUAGAUUUGAUCAAGGUUGCCAAACGGAUUUUUGUUUAUAACUGUCAUAGUUACUAUCUUGAUUUGUCUGCAGGGUGUCCCAACAAAUGUUCCAAGUGAUCCCGAUGGGUUGCAUCUAGUACUGGAGUACCUGAAAGAAACCUACGGGAACCCUCCUCUUUAUGUCCACGAGAAUGGCAAGCACAUAUUUCGCUCAAAAAAAUAAAGAAAAGAAUGGCAACCCAUACAGUUUGACACGAAGUCUGUAAACUAUUCAAGUCGCUUCUUUAACCUCACUUACCCUGUUUUUCAUCUCACCAGGCAUGGGAUCUCCCAAGGACAGCCUCAAUGACACUUACAGGGUCGAUUGCCUGAGCAGCUACAUGGGAAGCACACUAGAUGCUAUAAGGUAUACUUGAUUCAUGGCCAAAUACACGCGAUUUUUCUGCACACGACUGCAUUUCUGUCCAUGAAAAACAAUGAAAGAAAGUAUUCCACACUGACGAGAUGGAUGCCCUGUUGUUGUUCUGCAGGAAUGGGGUUAAUGUGAGAGGCUACUUCACCUGGGCAUUCAUGGACCUGUUCGAACUCCGGGCAGGAUAUCAGUCCAAGUAUGGCCUGUACCGCGUAGAUUUCGACGACAUGAGGCGACCGCGGCAAGCCAGGCUCUCUGCUCGCUGGUACUCUGGCUUCCUGAAGAAGAACGGAUCCUCUCUUCUAAUAUCAAGAACACAGGAGGACCUGACGCGGAACACCGUGUCGUAAGUGUGGUUCACGUGCUCGAGAGAUGGCACCUGUAUGUAUGCAUGCAGUUGUCUAGAGUUUUGACUGUUUGACAAAAGGCCACUCCUUUUCUUUUCUGAAAAGAAUGGUGGUGUGAAACAACUCAAGUACUAUAAAUAAGAUUUGUUUGGUAAAUCUCAGUUGCCUGAAAUUUAGUUAUGGCUCAGUCUGAUGCGAUAGCUAUCUGAUUACUCCACCUUAAGAUUCGUAUGUUUGGUGAAGAGCCCUGCCAGUUGGGAGUCGAUACUGAUGCCUCCUUUCUGAAAAUUUAUUAGCAGGUGUACUAAUAAACGGGUUCAUGUUGCUGGUCUUUUUGAUCCUCCUAAUUGUCACCAUCUGUGUAACAAUUGUUGGUACAUAGUUCUUGCUCAAUGCUGAGAACUACCACUGGCAAUGGACUUCAUUCUUCUCUGGUGCUUCCACUGCCGUUUAUGUUUACCUCUACUCCAUAUACUAUUACAAUGUGAAGACAUGUCAGGAUUCUUCCAGACAAGCUUUUACUUCGGCUACACUCUGAUGUUCUGCCUGGGUUUAGGAACACUUUGUGGUAAGCUCUUCUUCACUGACAGCAUGUACAAAACCAAGUAUUGGAUGGUUUCAAUUGACACAGGUUGGAAUUUGGAUACAUGGUGCUGUAGGAUACCUUGGAUCGACAGUGUUUUUGAGAAGGAUAUACAGGAACAUAAAGUGUCACUAAAGAUCAGCCCCAAUUAUACUGGUGGGGAGGAACUGUCUAUCAAUUCCUCGUUUCGACGAGGGGGCAUUGUUUCUGUGGCCAAGAUGCCAGGGCAUUGGUGAAAUCUGAUCAUUAUUUUACAGCAAGCUGGGCAGCCGUGGUUUUUUUUUGUGUUCCUGUCGUCCCUUUUGUUCCAUCUGGCCCCUCUUCGGGCUAAUUUUUUUUUCAUGCUUGAUGAGUUAUAUAGUUGUGAUCAUAGUUGUCAAGUAGUAGUACUAGAUCUUUAGGAUAUACAGCAGCUGUUAUUCUUGAACCCAAUGGGACCUGAAUUUCGUCAUACAAAACUGUAAGAUCGAUGAUACUAGUGAUGUUUCUUGAUGAACACUGCUCCUGAAGUAUAUUUAUCAUGCUUGUGCUUUCUGGGAGGCAAAACUAUAGAAAGGAACUUGGAUGAUUCAGUUAGUGUUGUUUCUUUCUUUUACAAAAUUGUUAUCUGAAUUAAAUUAUCUUUUUGACAUGUCUUAAUCACCUGAACUGAAUAAGAACAUCUUGACAUACAAAAUUUAUACGCAGAUCCUUUGUUCCAUAGGAAGCGGACCCUUGUCGCGUGGACGUGAGCUAGAUGUAAACGGAGGGAGGGCGCCAAAAGCCCAAAACCAGCCGUAGGUGUUGAAGGGUUGAGGAGCAAAAGAAAUCUGAAUACGCAUGACCGUCGCCCGGCAGCUCCCGCAUCGGCGAAAUCAUGCGCAGCACAUGUCGGAUAGCAUCGAGGUGGCCGCUCGCACCCGUGCACCGCCGCCUCCGCGGGCUCGUUGCCGCUGCCAUCUCCUCCACAGCGCCCUCUCACGGCUGCCCGCUCCAUGCCGAGCUCGCGCGCCGCGGCGCCCCCGCGGCCGCCUCCCUUGUCCUCUACUCCCGCAUUCGCGCCGUCACCACGCCCACCCCUUUCACCUUCUCCCUCCUCCUCGCUGCCCUCGCCUCGUCCUCUUUCACCACCUCCUCCACCGGCAGCGCUUGCCUCGCCGCGCCCGUCGCGCACGCGCAGGCGCUCAAGUGCGGCGCGCUGGCGCACUCCGUCGUCACCAACUCCCUCCUCAAGCUCUACUGCACCCUUGGCCUCCUCCCCCACGCGCGCAGGGUGUUCGACUCGGGUGCCGCUCUGGACGUGGCCUCGUGGAACACGAUGGUGUCCGGGUACGGAAAGAGCGGUGACCUGGCGGCAGCGCGGGAGGUGUUCGGCAGAAUGCCGGGGCGGAAUCUGGUAUCUUGGAGCGCGAUGAUCGACGCGCUUGUGCAUGCCGAGGAGUUUGGAGAGGCAUUGUCGGUGUUUGAUCAGAUGAUGAGGGAGGGUUUCAAGCCGGAUGUGGUAGUGCUGGUGAGCAUGCUCAAGGCGUGUGCGCAUCUUGGUGCGGUCAAGAGGGGUCGAUGGGCCCAUCAGUAUCUGGAAACGGAGGGGUUUGCGGGGAGGCAAAGGAAUGUCAUGGUUGAGACGGCGCUGGUGGACAUGUACUGCAAGUGUGGGUGCAUGGAGGAGGCCUGGUGUGUUUUUGACGGUGUUCGCUACCGUGACGUUGUGCUGUGGAAUUCAAUGAUCGGAGGGCUUGCAAUGAAUGGUCAUGGUGACCGUGCACUUGAGCUGUUCCAAAGGAUGCUCCAGGAAGGUUUUGUGCCAAAUCAGUCUACGUUUGCUGGUGCUUUGUGCGCGUGCACCCACACAGGCCAUGUGGAUGAAGGGAGAGAGAUUUUCAAGUCAAUGUGGCACCAUGGGAUCGAGCCACAGAGGGAGCACUAUGGGUGCCUUGCUGAUCUCCUUGGGCGUGCUGGGCGCGUAGGCGAAGCUGAGGCUGUAUUGCUGGAUAUGCCAAUGGAGCCACAUGCCUCACAAUGGGGUGCGCUGAUGUUGUCAUGCCAGAUGCACAAUGAUAUUACUGUCGGAGAACGUGUAGGGAAGCGGCUCAUUGAGCUAGAGCCACACCAUGGUGGACGUUAUGCCAUUCUGUUCAAUCUGUAUGCAGUCAAUGGUCUAUGGGAUGAUGCAAGAGCAAUUCGGCAGAUGAUGGUGGAGAAGGGAGCCAAGAAAGAUGCGGGCUUGAGCCUCGUGGAGUGAAAUGGUUGGUUCCACAAUCCACACACCGGACCAGGCAGAUCUAUGCCCUGCGGAAAGGUACUAAUAUCUUAUACUUGUUUAAGUAUUGCGAGUGUGCCAGAGCAAGUAUAAAUGGAUGUGGUACACCGUACACGAUGGAGAAGGAAUAGUUUCUAUGUGAGGCUACAGUAUAGCUGCAGAACUGAAUGAACCGGUGCUUUCUCUGCAUAUCAGAAUGCACAUACAAGAACCCCAUCACGCUCGGCAUCUACCUGUUCUCAGCAGCGAAAACACAAGCUACCGAUGAGAACAAAUCACACUUCUUCUGCACAAGUGUUUUUUCUUCUGCUCCAUUUCUGCACAUGCAUGCCUCCGUAAGAUCGUUGGCUUUUGCGUCUUGGUGAAUGGUGACACGCACCACACUCUCCAUUUUCCAGGCAAUUGUAGUGCUACCUGCAGCGCCCUGUUCAACAUCAAUUUAUUCUUGCCAUAAAGCAAGAACCUGGAGAAGAGGGUAGGCAGGCAGAUGUUCACCAUCCGCUCUGGUACUAGUUUUUGGCACAAUACCCAGUUCUGCAAUCUCAUCCCUCAUCCUUUCUCCUAUCUUUCUUGUGAUCCACAUGUGACUUAAUUUUUGAAGUGAGCAUGCCUUAGUCUUCCAAUCAGUGUUUUGUGUAUCCAUCUAAUUUCGGACGCAUUAAUCCAAAACGUUGUUUAAUGCUGAUAGCAGGAUACUGAAAAGUUGAAGUUAAACAAUAGCGCACGGAUCACAAGCACAUAAAAUAUGUAUCAAGGCUCCAGACAGAGACAUGUUAUUAAAGAAUAGGCGUCAGCUCCAUCACUUUGUACUGGGUUCUCUCUCAUGGCAAGGAAACAAAUCAAGCACGACACACGUGGUAGUUGCACAUACUGCUGCAAACAUAGUUUAAUUUGAUAAGAGCAUGAAGUUGAGGUCAACUGACCUAUAAAUCCUCCGGAAGGGCACAAACCAUCCCAAGAACAUAGACAUAGAUGGGUGUUACUGCCUUCUUCUACAUCCUGCUGUUCCUAUGGGUUCACGAUGCAGCUGCCAUUAUUGGCUUCACAAGAAGUGAUUUUGCACAAGACUUCGUCUUUGGAGCUGGAACCUCAGCAUACCAGGUAAUAUGAUGAAAUCUUGUUUCUGCUGAAAAUCAUGGUUUUCUAAAGUUUGAUGUUCCAUCUACAUACAGUACGAGGGAGCUGUUGCUGAGGAUGGCCGGAGUCCAAGCUUUUGGGACACUUUCACUCAUGCAGGUUAGUUCCUAACUUGCUACCUAAUUUUUCAGUUUAUCUCUGAUUUUGGAGUGCUGCAAUAUCUGACUAAAUUUGCGACUGCAGAUUUGAUUAAAAGAAUUGGUAUAGCAUGGUAGCACGUGACUAGUUUGUUUUCUUUUGUACUCCAAGAAUUGGAGUGUUUACAAAGCUAACAACUACAGAUUUUCAAAUUCCUGAUCAUUUUUCAUGACAAUAAAGUAUAAAUUUGAGACCAGUUCCCUCUUGGCCAAAUACCUCCGUAGAAGCAUAUUUUUGUUGUUAAAGCAGCACGGAAUUAAACAUUGUAAUACCCAAGGUCAUGACCGGCACCGCAUGUGGUUGACCAUUGUUGAUUUGUGCUGACAGGUAAAAUGCCAGACAAAAGCACAGGAGAUAUUGCUGCAGAUGGGUACCAUAAAUACAAGGUAAACAAUAAGAGAGGAAAAAUAAUCUUCUGCCCAUGUUUCAUGGAAGUCUAUGUUUAGGCAUCAACAUUAGGACUAAUUCAACAUUUCUCAGAUCUAGUAACUCCAAAAGAAAUCAUGUACUGAUAUUUCAGGAGGAUAUGAAGCUCAUUUCUAAGACAGGACUAGAGGCUUAUAGGUUCUCCAUCUCCUGGUCAAGGCUUAUUCCAAGUACAGAAUUCCUAGCAAUCACAACAAGCCAUUUUAAUUUUCUAUUUCUUCUAACUGUUUCAGCAAAAAUUGCUGUUCCAGAUGGACGUGGGGCUGUCAAUCCCAAAGGGCUAAAGUACUACAAUAACAUCAUAAAUGAACUAGUUAAACAUGGUAAAUACUCUUUCCAUUUCUGUAUAUCUGUCCUUGGCCUCAGCCGGGAGUCUAUGUUUCAAAAUAUUUGUCCGGUGAUCAAAAACUGUAGUUAAUUCAAUGCUUGUACUCUGUACCACUAAUUUAAUGUUUUGGAAGAAGUUAUGUGGUUAUAGCAUACCAUUUUAUAAGGCUAUGCAUAUUAGUUUCAUUAUUAUCUCUCCACAGAUUUGGUUCCCUUUGCAUGUGCGCAUGGUGGACUCAGACAUAUAUACCGGAGCGAGUGAAGUAUAUAUUUGUGAUCUUUGAUGAUCCAAAUGCAUUACAGGCUUAGGUUCAUGUGUUAGAGCUAAACACCAUUUUUUUUUCAAGAGAUGUAUACACCAACGAUUUUUUUUUGUCCAGGCAUUCAAAUACACAUCACGCUUCACCAUAUAGAUCUCCCUCAAAUUCUUGAAGACGAAUAUGGUGGAUGGUUAAGCCCCAGAAUUAUGUAAGACAUUUUUAAGGAACCAGAAUUAUUAAUUUUAUAUAAGGCUUCAAAAAAAGAGAAAGAACUUUCUUUCUGAGUGGCAAUUCUGUAGAAACAGUGACAUUCUUACAACCUAAUUGCCCUAUUCAUAGUUGUGUGUCUGCAAAAUGCAGCGAAGAUUUCACAGCAUAUGCGGGUGUUUGCUUCAGGGAGUUCGGAGAUAGGGUCAAAUACUGGACAACAGUGAAUGAACCAAACAUUGGUGCAAUUGCCGCUUAUGGAAGUGGUCAAUUACCACCUGGUAGAUGCUCAGAUCCAUUUGGAAUAACAAAGUGCACAGCGGGGAACUCCAGCAUUGAACCAUACAUAGCAGUUCAUACUACCCUAUUGGCGCAUACAUCAGUUGUCAAACUGUACAGAGAAAAAUAUAAAGUGAGCGAAUGAUCUUGUAUGCAAAAACUUAGAUUAGCUCAAUGGUGAAACCACCAUUGUCAGUCAUUGCACAACACUCAUCUUUCUGAUAUACGUUUCAGUACAAUAUUGCCUUUUUCUGUUUCCUGUUACAAUGCCAAUAUUUAGAGGUACAGACUACAGGUAGACUCAUUAAAAAAACUUUUGGAGCAGGCUGAGCAAAAAGGAGUUGUGGGCAUAAAUAUCUACUCCUAUUGGAGUUAUCCAUUCACAAAUUCCACUGUGGAUUUAGAAGCAUCUCAAAGAUCUAAGGAUUUCAUGUUUGGCUGGUAUGGUAUUUACCUAAAUCUUACACUAGAAGCAUGUCAAAUGCAUAAUCCUUGCAUGUUGAGGGCCUAACCGUGAUGACAGGAUACUGGAGCCUUUGGUGUCUGGGGACUACCCAGAAGUAAUGAAGAAGAAUGUUGGCUCUCGCCUUCCAUCCUUUACAAAAAUUCAGUCUGGACUUAUCAAGAAUUCUUUUGAUUUUAUUGGAAUAAAUCACUACUUCUCCGUCUAUGUGAAUGACCGCCCAAUAGAAAGAGGUGCUCGAGACUUCAAUGGAGACAUGUCAGUUUAUUACAGAGGUGAACACAAGUUUUGUUCUUCUGAUGGUGAUGAGUCAAAUUGUUACUUAACGGCUAGUAAUUUUGUAACAUAUUAUUAAUGUACAGUUUGUUGAUUCCUUCCUAGUAACUCUGCACACAAGCAAGCACCACUAACAGUGGAUCUUACUAACAAAGAGAAUCAGCCUUUCCAGAUCAGUUAGUCAUAUAACAUGGACAAUUCUCUAGUGUUCUUGCAUAAAUCACCCCAAAACAUGUUUGCUGUCUAAACUUGAAAGUGUACUUUUUCAUCGAGAUACAUUUUUUGACCCUAGAUGAUACAACUUAUUUUUUGACCAUUUCAAUCUAAAAGUAUUACAUUUAUUCUCCACCAUACUAGACAAAUACAGUUUUUUUUUACUUAAACUGUAAGAGCUGUGCGAUUGCUGUCCGACAGUGCAACCUUCAAGGAUUGAACUCUGGUGGGCUGCCAGCACACCUGGCUGGCUGACCACCCAAGCUAUGCUUGUUUCUCACUAGACAAAUACAGUUACUUUUUUAUUGAAGUUUUGUGCCUUCUUUGCUAUAACUAGAUACUUGUUUGUAUGCUGCAGUUUCUAGGACAGAUCCGCCAGCUGGUCAGGUAAAAUCCUGUCAUUGUGUGAAGUUGCCAACUGCACUGCAACUAUGGAAGUAGAAAUACCGAACUGAUUCAAGAUAUUAGACAAAAAAAAAGAAACACUUAAAACUGAUGUGAUCAAGGUUGACAAAACACUUUUGGUUCAUAACCGUCAUAGUUACGGUCUUCAAUUGUCUGCAGGGUGCCCCAACAAAUGUUCCAAGUGAUCCCAAAGGGUUGCAACUUGUACUGGAGUACCUGAAAGAAACCUAUGGGAACCCUCCUGUUUAUGUCCACGAGAAUGGCAAGCACAUAUUUCCCUCAAACAACAGAAAAAAUAGAAUGGCAAGCCAUGCUGUUUGGCAUGAAAUAAAACCUGUAUUAACUUUUAACUAAUCACGUGCUUCUUUAACCUCACUUGCCCUGUUUUUCAUUUCAUCAGGUGUGGGAUCUCCCAACGACAGCCUCAAUGACACUGACAGGGUCGUUUACCUGAGCAGCUACAUGGGAAGCACACUAGAUGCAAUAAGGUGCUUGAUUCAUGACCAAAUGCACACGACUGCAUAUUUCUAUGCCAUGAAAAACGAAGAAAGAAAAUAUUCCACCCUGACGGGAUUGAUACCCUUUUGUUGUUCCGCAGGAAUGGGGUUAAUGUGAGAGGCUACUUCGCCUGGGCAUUCAUGGACCUGUUCGAACUCCUGGCGGGAUAUCAGUCCAAAUACGGCCUGUACCACAUCGAUUUCGACGACAUGAGGCGUCCCCGGCAAGCCAGGCUCUCGGCUCGAUGGUACUCUGGCUUCCUGAAGAAGAAUGGAUCUUCUCUUCUAGUGUCAAGAACACAUGAGGACCUGACGCUGAAUACAGUGUCCUAAGUUCGUGCGCAAGAUGGUAGGUGUACGUAUUGAAGCGCUUGUCUAUGGUUUAACAAAAGGCUGCUCAAUGCAAUUUUCUUUUCUGAAAAGAGUGGUGGUUUGAAAGAACUGAAGUACAAAUACAUAUAUCUAUUCGGUGAUAUACGGUUUUUGAACUCACCUUUGACGGAUGAGGGACUCAUCAGAAACCUAUCGUCAUUGACAAAAUCAUCACUGACGGGUUGUAGAUCAGUAAGUGGAGACAAACCAGCAAUGCCGGACGAUGCAAGAAAGGUCUGUUAGCUGAGACUUUUCCAGGUGGGCUCAAGAGCCUAUUGUAGAUGUCAUCACUAACUGGCCGUUGAUGAUGGUCCAUCAGCGGUUAUAGGUCAUCUCUUGCGGGUCUUACAUACUGACCUGUCUGGUGAUUUUUAUAAUGACUUGAAAGUUGUCACCAUUGACGAGCUAGGUCGGCUAGGUCUAUCAAUGGUGACUUUCUUUAGAGUAGAUUUGGCGGUUGCAAAAAUUGCCUAAAUUCAUGCAUAUAUUUUUUAUUCAUUGUAUAAGUAUAUCAGUGGUGACUUUCUUUAGAGUAGAAUUGGCAAUUGCAAGCAAAAAUAGCCAAAACAAUUCAUGGAUAUAUUUUAUAUUCAUUGUAUGCACAUUCUUAUUGAUUUGAACUAUACAUUUCACUCAUUAUGCAUAGAUAUUUUAAUCAAUUCUCGCAUCAACGACAUAAGGAGGAACACAAGUCCUAUAUGAUCAAGACGAUGUAGUAGAGAAAACACAAGAUAUACUUUUGAGAAGAAAUAUAGAGUAGUUAUAAAAUUUCUUGAAGCUAAUUAAGAUUAGGGUUUCAGGGUCGGUGGUUACUCAUUUGGUGAUGAUUGCUCAUUCACCGGAGAUUGAGGCACCACCUGCGCAACAUGCAGGGGUGUCCCGCCGUCGAAUUAUGUACCAAAAAAUCGCAACACAUCACUGGUUCAAGAAAUGAGCCAUUAUCUGUUAGCUCCUGAAUCAACAUUUUUGUAGUCUUAACAUCAUACAUGGCAUUCACAAUAUCUUGAGAUUUUUGUUGCAACUUUUUGCGCAACAAGUCUGUAAUUCCCAUAAGUUCUUACAUGACAUGCAGAAGAAAUAUGAAAUCAAAAGACAUUAUCAACUUAACAGAACCAGAAGCAUUUGAUCGUGCUGAAGGUGAAGUUCCUAAACCUUUAGCAGUAGCAAUACUUUGAUUUGUAUAAUUUCAAAAGGCUGCAAACAGAAGCAUAAUGAGAACUCCACCUAGUGUCACAAGGCCGUUAAUUGUGUGUUCCUAAAAAAAAGUAAGUUUUCUUGCGCUCCAAGUAGUCCUAAAAAAACUGAGUAUUGCUAACGAAACUAUGGAGAAACACAAUAAACCUUUAAGUCUAUAAUUGCAGAAAGUCUUUUCUAGGAUUUAAGCAUAGAAAAUUCGUAAAUUAAAUCAUCUCAACUCAAAAAAAAUUAGCAAUAUAUAAAUGCUCGGAAGAAGAUAACCUAUCUGUUCAUGCCAUGCAUUCAUGCUACUCGCAAUUUGAAUAAUAGCUUUGAAAAAAGAGUAAAUUUCACAAAACCACACUUCUUGAGGUUAGGGUUUCAUCGGGCCACAGUUAUCACUAAUAGUCUCACAGAACCAUAGUUUUUGGGGCACUCUGUCUCACAUAACCCAAAUCAGGUAGAUUAUAUCGUUUAAUGGUUUUUCUGACAGGUGGGGCCCACCUGUCAAAUGCCACCUCAGGCGAACAACCCGUUUCGUUGCCAUAUCAGCUCCCGGACCCGACCCGAGAUAGCGUUUUAGGUAGAGAAAUAACCCUUAACGGGUCCGGAUGGGUCCGGAAACUGACGUGGCAACGAAAUGGGUCUGACUUGGCAUAUGUCAAGUGGGUCUCACUUGUCAAAAAUACCAUCAAACGGCCUAAUCUAUCCAAUUUGGGUUCUGUGAGACAGCUUGAUCCAAAAACUGUGGUUCCGUGAGACUAUUAGUGAUAACUGUGGCCUGAUGAAACCCUAACCCUAAAAAGUGUGGUUUUGUGAAGUUUACUCUUGAAAAAAAAUUCCCUUUAAUUUUGUUUGAACCGGGAACACGCUUUACUCUAUUUGAUUGAUGCAGAGUGAGUAAUAAAGCACGCAAAAUUGUAUCGUCUCUGUAGUUGCCCUGUUUGGUUAGAUUUAAACGUGGCUUUUGAUUUUUGGCUUAUCAGACACAAAAGCAACUACGCUUUGGCUUUUGAUAUUUGUCUUGAUAUUGUUAGAUGAUGAUAUAAGAAACAUAACCAAAUUCAAAAGCACCUAAAUUAUAAGCCGAAAUUUCAAAACGCACAUUUAAAUCUAACCAAACAGACCCUAAAUAAGGUACGGCCUCGCCGCGCCCGUUGCGCAAGCGCACGCCCUCCGUCGUCACCAAUUCCCUCCUCAGCUCUACUGCGCCCUCGUCCUCUUUCCCCCAUGUGCGCAGGGUUUUCGACUCGGGCGCCGCUCUGGACGUGGCCUCCUGGAACACGAUGGUGUCCGGGUGCGGCUAGAGCGGCGACCUUGCGGCAGCGUGGAAGGUGUUUGGCAGAAUGCCAGAGUGAACUUGGUGUCCUGGAGCGCCAAGUCCACGCAGGUGGGGGAGAUCAACAGCUACGCGGGGGGUAAUGUCGGAUAUCUCUCGCUUUCGGGGAGAACGACCGGAUCGCGCAGCCUGUCUUGUCUGGACUGACAAGGGUAAAUCACGUCAAGAUCGCAGCAGCUGACGGAUCCAGCGGCAGGAGCCUGCGUUCUUCACAUUUGGUGCAUCCGACGGAGAAAGGUGAAUCUCGUUUUACUUUGUCUUUGCCAAUGCUGGAAAAUCCAGUCGAGAAUAUGCUAGGAGCAGGUAGGUAGGAUGAGAUUUUGGUCAUGGCCUGCCGAAUAGGACCACCUGUCAGCGACCUAGCAGCCGUAUGCAGCCGCAAUCGUACUACACAAACACAGAUCUUCUCUCUUUCUAUUCUAACCCGAACACAUGCCAGAGCGCCUAGCUGGAUUCGGAAGACGUGGUUUGGUUGGUGAUCCUGGCCAGCGAUCACACACACACGGACACGAAGAUCGAGCAAGGUGACAUUGCACUUAAUUGAGUUGUUCCAAAGGAUGCUCAUUGCUCAACCAACAUUGCUCGCUCUGCAGACAAGAACAGCUGAACAGACGAUACGCUGAUACGCAGGAACCCCCAUUUAAGGCGAACGUUGGCUCUGGCAUCUUGGUGACAACGCACCAGCCACCAGGCUCUCCAUUUAAGGCGUUAGCUCCAUCCCUUUCUAGCGGGUUCUUCUCUCUCACGGCAAGGCAAGGAAACAAAGCAAGCAUGAUACACAUGCUAGUUGCGGACUGGGAUUCCCCGACGCGUGUCAGGGUAACGUGUGUGGUGGGCCGUGAGCCCGCCGUGUAAGCGGCCCUGUGUUACCCUGACGCUCGUCAAGUUGAUGCACAUGUCUGCUGCAAACAUUCUUUAAUUUCAUGAAUUUGUAUGAGGUUGAGGUCAACUGCCGUAUAAAUCCUCCCAGAGGGCACAAACCUACGCAGGAACAUAAACAUAGAUGGGUGGUGUUACUGCCUUCUUCUACAUCUUGCUGUCCCUCUGGGUUCAGGAUGCAGCGGCCAUUAUUGGCUUCACAAGAAGUGAUUUCGCACAAGACUUCGUCUUUGGAGCUGGAACCUCAGCAUACCAGGUGAUAUGAUGAAUUCUUGCUUGUGCUGAGAGUCAUGGUUGGCUAAAGUUUGAAGUUAACUUUCGUAUGCAUAUAGUACGAGGGUGCUGUUGCUGAGGAUGGCAGGAGUCCAAGCUUUUGGGACACUUUUACUCAUGCAGGUUAGUUGCUAACUUGUAACCUAUUUGUGCAGUUUUCCUUUCUAAUUUUGGAGUGUUGCAAUAUCUGAUUCAAUUUUGGGCUGCAGAUUUCAUUAAAGGAAUUGGUAUAGCAUGUGAUCUGUUUUUUGUUUUUCGAAUGCCUAAUAACAAGAGAUUUUCACAAUUCCUGAUCAUUUUUCAUGACGAAUGAGGUAGAAAUUUGAGACCACUUACCUGUCGGGCAACAACCUCCAUGGAAGCACGUUUUUGUUGCUAAAGCAGCACGAAAACAUGGUAAUACCCAAGGCCAUAACCGGCACCGAAUGAGGUUGACCAUUGUUGAUUUGUGCUCAUAGGUAAAAUGCCAGACAAAAGCACAGGAGAUAUUGCUGCAGAUGGGUACCAUAAAUACAAGGUAAACAAUAAGAGAAAAUUCUUCUGCCCGUGUUUCUUGGAAAUCCAUGUUGAUGCAUUCAACAUUAGGACUAAUUCAGCAUUUCUCAGAUCUAGUAAUUCCAAAAGGAAUCAUGUACUUCCCUGCAAAAAAGAAGAAGGAAUCAUGUACUUAUCUGAUAUUUCAGGAGGACCUCAAGCUUAUAUCUGAGACAGGCCUAGAGGCCUAUAGGUUCUCCAUCUCCUGGUCAAGGCUUAUUCCAAGUACAGACUUCCUUGCAAGGUUCAUCACGACAAUCCAUUUUAAUUUUCUAUUUCUUCUCUAACUGUUUGAGCAAAAUUCUUGGUUCGCAGAUGGACGUGGAGCUGUCAAUCCCAAAGGGCUAGAGUACUACAACAACAUCAUAGAUGAACUAGUGAAACAUGGUAAAUACUCUUUCCAUAUCUCUAUGUCUGUCCUUGGCCUCGGGAGUCUCUGUUCCAAAAUAUUUGUCUGGGAAUCAAUAGUGUAGUAAAUUCAAUUAUUGUACUCUCUACCCCUACAUUAAUGUUUUAGAAGAAGUUAUGUGGUCGUAGCCAACUAGCAUGCUAUUUGUUAAGGCUAUGCAUAUUCAUAUUUCUUUUACCGAAAACUGUAGGAGAGUAUGCAUAUUCAUUUCAUUAACUAUUUUCUAGAUUUUGCCUUUUCAUGUGCGCUUGGUGGACUCAGAACAAAUUAUAGCGGAACAAAUCGAGAGUAUAUUAACGUUUAAUCAUCCAAAUACAAUCCAGGCCUAGGUUCAUGUGGUAUAGCUCACCAUCAUUUUGUUUAAAGAGAUGUAUACAAGAUUUUUUUGUGUCCAGGCAUUCAAAUACACAUCACACUUCACCAUGUAGAUCUCCCUCAAAUUCUUGAAGACGAGUAUGGUGGAUGGUUAAGCUCCAGAAUUAUGUAAGUUUCUGCAAGGCUUAAAAAAAGAGAGAAGUAACUUUCUUUGUGAGUGGCAGUUCUGUAGAAUUGUCCUAUUCAUGCAUGCUUUGGCAUCUGCAAAAUGCAGCGAAGAUUUCACAGCGUAUGCAGAUGUUUGCUUCAGGGAGUUCGGAGAUAGGGUAAAAUACUGGACUACAGUGAAUGAGCCUAACAUUGGUGCAAUUGCCGCUUAUGGCAGUGGUCAAUUACCACCUGGCAGAUGCUCAGAUCCAUUUGGAAUAACAAAGUGCACAGCGGGGAACUCCAGCACUGAACCAUACAUAGCAGUUCAUACUACCCUAUUGGCGCAUGCAUCAGUUGUCAAACUGUACAGAGAAAAAUAUAAAGUGAGCGAAUGAUCUUGUGCCAAAAAUAGUUUCGUUGCUAUUUAGGCUCUUCCUAAACUGUGACAUCAUUAGGCAUCUUAGCUUAGCUCAAUGGUGAAACCACUAUUUUCAUUCAGUGCACAUUAACCAUAUCAUAACUAGAGCUGCAAAAUUGUGACCCUCAGGGUACCCUUUGACCCUCCUUAGUUCAACCAAAUGAACUAAAAUUUUAAAUGACACAACUUUUUGAAAAACUAGUUCAUUUGUUUGAACUAAGGAGAGUCAAAGGGUACCCUGAGGGUCACCAUGUUGCACCCCUAAUCAUAACUCAUCUUUCUGCUACAUGUUUCAGCACAAUAUUGCCCUUUCCUGUUUCCUGUAACAGUGCAAAUUUUAGAGGUACCGGCUACAGAGUAUUGCCUUUUGGAUGCAGGCUGAGCAAAAAGGAGUUGUGGGCAUAAAUAUCUACUCCUUCUGGAGUUAUCCACUCACAAAUUCCAGUGUGGAUUUGAAAGCAACUCAAAGGGCUAAGGAUUUCAUAUUUGGCUGGUAUGGUAUUUACCUGCAUCUUACAUUAGAAGCAUGUCAAAUGCAUAAUCCGUGCACGUUGAGAGCCUUACCGCGAUACUGGCAGGAUGCUGGAGCCUUUGGUGUUUGGGGAUUACCCAGAAGUAAUGAAGAAUAUUGUUGGCUCUCGCCUUCCAUCCUUCACAAAAGUUCAGUCUGUACUUAUCAAGGAUUCUUUUGAUUUUUUUGGAAUAAAUCACUACUAUUCUCUCUAUGUGAAUGACCGACCUAUAGAAAUAGAUGUUCGAGACUUCAAUGCAGACAUGUCAAUUUAUUACAGAGGUAAACGACUUUUUUGUUCUUCCGAUGGUGAUAUGCCAAAUAGUUUUUUAACUGCUAGUAAUUUUAUGACAUGUUGAUGUACAAUUUGAUUCUUUUUCAUAAACUAUAAUAACUGUGCACACAAGCAAAUGCUGCAAGUAUAAACUGACAGUGGAUCCUACUAAUAAUAAAGAAAAACAUCUUUUCCAGAUCACUGAGUAUGAGCAUGUAACAUGGACAAUUGUGUUUUGUCAUAAAUCACCACAAAACAUGUUUUCUGUCUUGGAAGUAUAGUUUAUCCGUGAGUACAUUUUUUUUCCACAUUAUUCUAGACGGAACAACUGUAUUCACCACCUUAGUAGAGAAACAUAACAUCUAUUCACCACCUUAUCAGAGAAAUACAGUAAGUUUAUGAUUGCAGUGGUGUGCCUUUGUUAUUCUAACUAGAUAAUUAUUUGUAUGUUGCAGCUUCUAGGACAGGUCCGCCAGCUGGUCAGGUAAAAUCCUGUCAUUGUGUGAAGUCCCCAACUCCAAUCCUUUUGGCCGUGCACUGCAACUAUUGAAUUAGAAAUGCCAAACUAACUGAAGAGUUAAGAUAACAAAGACACGCUUAAAAUGGAUGAGGUCAAGGUUGACUUAACGGAUAUUGGUUUAUAGCUGGCAUAGUUAGAGCAUGUACAAUGCAGGGAGGAUGCUUACAAAAAAUAAAUCGAUUUUUGUUUAAGCACUUGUGCCUGUUUGUAUAGGACAAUUGCUUAAUUAGGCACCUCUAGCUCUUCCACUUUGAGCCUAAGUUUGAGGGUUUCCUGGAGGUUGUGGCCGCUGCUUGGGCUACUCCCACCCCUAGUUGUUCCUCGGCAUUUCUCCUCAAUUCCACGACGAGGCUUGUUAGUCAGAGGUUGCAAUCUUGGGGUGCGAAGCAGAUUGGCAACAUUCGUCUCCCAAUUGAUUGCGCGGUCUAGCUCAUUUUCCGGCUGGAGGCUGCCCAGGAGAGUCAGGAUCUCUCUCCCCUCGAGGCCUGGCUUCGCAAGUGCCUCAAGCUAAAGUACCUAGCCUGUGCUCGCUUCACCGUACUAUUGGCAUUCAUAGAUCCUGGGUUUCCUGGCUCAAAGAGGGUGACGCAAUACCGGCUAUUUCCACUUCCAUGCGGGGGCCCGUCGGUGCCACACGAGGGACAGGACCUGGUCAAUCAGGAUCGUGUUGAGGAGGCGAUAACUUCCUUUUAUGAGGACGUCUUUGAGUCUCCCGAGGAUCGGUCGCAUUCCCUGAACUUUGAGUUCCUUCGGAUCCCACGACAUGAUCUGCAUGCCUUGGAGGAACCUUUUUUCUGAGGAUGAGAUUUGGGCAGCCAUCCAUGCCAUGGCCCCUGACCGUGCUCCCUUCCCCGAUGUUCACGGGUCUCUUCUUCAAAUCUUGUUGUUCCAUCAUCAAGGCGAGGAGCUUGAGCUGUUCUGUUAUAUACACCGAGGUGGGAGUGCGGGUUUUCACAAUCUCAACUGUGCUCUACUGACUCUCAUCCCUAAGAAGAACCAUUAGGUUGGUCCAUGGCGUCGCCAAGCUCGUGGCUAAGGUGAUGCCCCUUCAGGCCUUCAGUUGGCUCCAUCUUAUACCGACCCUAGUUUCGGCAAAUCAGUGUGCCUUCAUUUGUGGUCAGGCUAUUCACAACAACUUUAUAAACGUGAAGCAAAUGACUAGGUCUCUCCACCUCCCUCACUAGCCCGCAGUGCAUUUUAAGCUUGACGUUGUUAGGGCUUUCGACUUAGUGUCUUGGGCCUUCUUGCUUGAUCUUCUUCGGCACAUUGGUUUUGGUCGCACUUGUUGUGCAUCGCCGGGGUUUGUGCUAGGGCGACCCUGUUUUCAUGAUGUUGUUUGUCAUUGUCAUGGAAGCUUUCAACUACCUGUUCCUGGCAGCCUCCAGGGAAAAUCUUCUUUCUCCUUUCUGUGGGGAUCAUCUUGCAUUUCAUGCCUCCUUUGUUGAUGAUGUGGUAGUCUUUAUUAGACCCUAAGGUGGAGGAUCGCGCCACAUUGUUGCCGCCUCGAGGUUGCGCACGAACAUCCUCACAGAGGAUCUUCAAGUCGUUCUCCACUACCUUGCCUGUCCCAUCAAGGAACUACCCAUCAUUUACCUUGGUGCCCUGGUCUCCAUCUCGAAUCAUCGCCAGCACGACUUUCAGCCUCCUCGACAAGGUGGACUGCAAGCUUGCGGGUUGGAGAGCCGGCAUGCUUUCCAGUGGAGGACAGCUUGUUCUCGUCAAAUAGGUCCUUUCUGUGAUGCCGGUGCACACACUGCUCGCCAUUGACAUCCCCAAGUGGUUCGGGGAUGCUAUCAAUGAGAAGCAGCAUGGGUUCUUCUGGAAAGGUCAGUCAGAUGCCCAAAAGAACCAUUGUGCUAUUGAGUGGGCCAAGGUUUGCCACUCAAUCAAACUUGGUGGUUUGGACGUGCGUGACACCAACCUGGUGGCUGCUGCCCCUCUGGCUCAGGUGGCCUUGGCUGCACCACGUCAACUCAGUCAAAAACCUAGGCCUCCUUCAAGAUUCGGUUCAGCCAGCAAGUGCUCGCUCUCUUCCCCGACGCUUGCAGCUCGGUUGUCGGCAAUUAAUGGUUGCUCCACUAUUUUCUAGACCGACAACUAGAUUGAUGAGAAGUCGAUCGAGCAGCUCGCCCCGGUGGUCUUUGCCGCCGUUGGGCUGAGGCUGAUUAGCAAGCACAAGGUUUCGGACGCCCUUCCCAAGAGUGCCUGGAUCUAGGAUAUCUCGGGCAACCCGCAAGCUUGCAGUCCAUCUUGUCGAAUUUCUCCAUCUUGCAGAUUCUCUCGCGGUCAUGCAGGACGAGAGGAUGUCCUUGUUUGGGGCUGGUCGGCCUUUGGGACCUACCCCGCCAAAUUGACCGACAUACACUUCUUGUGAGUGCUAAGUUCCCCAACAUGGACGCAUAUUUGGCGUUGUUGGGCCCUGGUUGAGGUGCCGAAUCUGGUUGUGGCUAACUUGUGCUAAUCGGUGUUGGACGGCCGAUCUCCUUGAGCGACGGGAUCUCCCCUUCAAUGAGUGUUGCCCCGUUUGUGAUCAGGAGCCGGAGACCAUGGCUCAUCUCCUCUUGGGAUGUGUCUUCACGAGGUCGAUCCUCCAGGAGGUCAUGUCUGAAGCUAGGGCGCUCGUGUGCUUACCGAGACACUCUGAAGACCUCUCUACUCCGUUAGCAGUCAACAGGUCAAAGCUGUCUGUUCCCUUCUUCUCUCUCCCUUUGACGGAUCUGGAAGCUUCGUAGUGCUUGCAUUUUUUAGGGUGCUACUUUGCUCGCUUGGCCGAAGAUAUUCUUAUUGAGGCGGACCUAUGGCGGCACGCAUGCACGCGUGCCUUGAGCCACCCCUCCCCCUGCAUGCCGGAUGCUAGCCUUAGCCCUCCGGGAUUUUCUUUCUCUUCCUUUUGGGGGGUCUCCUCAUUUUCUUUUGUUUUUGUUUUCUUGUUGUCUUCUUGCACUUGCAUCUUCUUCUUAAUGAAAAUGAAGCGCCGCUUAGCGUGUGCGAGAAGAAUUAGACAUCUCUGUCAGAAAUUAGCACGGCUGCAUAAGAAUAAACUAGUUUAAUUUUAUAAGCAUCUCAUUGAGCACCUUCUUGUAUUGUACAUGCUCUCAUGAAGUUACGAUCUUAAUUGGUCUGCAGGGUGCGCCAACAAAUGUUCCAAGUGAUCCCAAAGGGUUGCAACUUGUACUGGAGUACCUGAAAGAAGCCUAUGGGAACCCUCCCCUUUAUGUCCACGAGAAUGGCAAGCACAUACUUACCUCCCAAAAAAAACAAGGAUGACCAAGCCCAUGCAGUUUAACACAAAGCAAAGUCUGCAUUAACUAAUUAAGUUGCUUCUUAACCCUAAUUUUCAUCUCAGCAGGCCUGGGAUCUGCCAACGACGACCUCGAUGACACUGACAGGGUCGAUUACCUGAGCAGCUACAUGGGAAGCACACUAGAUGCAAUAAGGUACGCUCCCUCCGAUUCUAAAUUAUUGAAUUAACAACAAAAAUUUAGUAUCGGAAGGAGUACUUGAUUCAUGACCAAAUACACACGACUGCGUAUUUCUAGAGUACUUGAUUCAUGACAAAAUACACACGAGUGCGUAUUUCUAUGUCAUGAAAAACAAAGAAAGAAAAUAUUCGACCAUAACGGGAUGGAUACCCUUGUUGUUCCGCAGGAAUGGGGUUAACGUGAGAGGCUACUUCACGUGGGCAUUCAUGGACCUGUUCGAACUCCUAGCAGGAUAUCAGUCAAAAUACGGCCUGUACCGUGUCGAUUUCGACGACGUGAGGCGGCCUCGGCAACCCAGGCUCUCGGCUCGUUGGUACUCCGUAUUUCUGAAGAAGAAUGGAUCUUCUCCUCUAGUGUCAGGAACACAGGAGGACCUGACGCUGAACACCGUGUCCUAAGUUUGGUGUGCGCGUACGCGAGAUGGCACGUGUGCGUAUGCAACGCUCUUGUCUAUGGUUUAUGGUUUGAUAGGAGGCUGCUCAAUGCAAUUUUCUUUUUUCAGAAUAAUGGUGGUGCGGAAUCCAAGUACAAAUACAUAUAUUUAUUUGAGGAUGUACGGUUCUCAAAUUCUCACCUUUGACGGAUGAGCGACUCGUCGGUAACUUAUUGUCAUUUACAAAAUCAUUUGGUUGUGUGCAUCCAUCGACGCAGAGGUCGGCGGUACUCCCUCCAUUUGAUUUGUUUUUUACAAAGUCAUCAGCGAUAACACGUAAGUGGAGACAAACAAGCACAUCGUGGCCGGAUGAGUAAGGUUUGUUAGAAGUGACUUUUCUAGCGUGGCCGGACGAGUAAGGUUUGUUAGAAGUGAUUUUUCUAGGCAGAAGCCUAUUGUAGGUGUCACCACUGACUGGCCAUUAAUGAUGGUUCAUCGGUGAUAGGUCAUAUCUAAUGGAUCUUUUUAAUAUAUCUGUCAGCGUACAAUUUUUAUAUUACUGCUGCACCACUAAUUGUCGAAGAAAAAUUCAAUCUCCCUUUUGAAUUUGACGUAGAGUAAUAAAGCCCGUAAAAAAAUAGCUCCGUUUAACUUAAAAAACAGUAUUCCUUCCGACCGGUAUUACUUGUCUCAAAUUUGUCCAAAUACGGAUGUAUCUAUGUGUAAAAUGUGUCUAGAUACAUGUAAUAUUUCGACAAGUAAUUCCGGCCGGAGGGAGUAGUAACUGUCUCCAUGAUGGUAUAUAGGGAUGUAAGCGGGCUCCCGCUUCUAGUUCAUUUGAAAUUUGCUACUUUCUCCGUCCAAUAAAAGAUGUCUCAAGUUUGUCAAAAAUUGGAUGUAUCUAAACAUGACUUGCACCGCGAUGUUCGACGCAUGUCGAGGAGUUAGCUGAGGUGUUUCAAGCCGGACGUGGUGGUGCUGGUGUGAGCAUGCUCAAGGCAUCUUGGAGAUCCUGGUUGAGACGGCUCCGGUGGACAUGUAUGUAGGGCAAGGAGGAGGCCUCUGUGCGUUCGCUGCCGCGUCGUCGUGCUAUGGAAUUCAAUGAUCGGAGGGCUUGCACCGCGCCAGGUGGGGAAAAGCAAAAUCAAAUGUAUGCGCGGGGGGCAAUGGCGGAUGGCGGAUCGCUGUCGCUCGCUUUCGGGAUUCGGCUGCCUGUGUGUCUCGACCCGAGAAGGGAAAUCACGUCAAGAUCGCAGCAGCAGCAGCUGAUGGCAACCUGCACUCCAGCGGCAAAUGUCUGCGCUGUUCACAUUAAUUUGGUACUACAUCCGACGGAGAAAGGUGAAUCUCGUUUUACUAUCUUUGCCAUUAUUGGAACAUCUGCGUCGUUCACAUUUGGUGCAUCAGUCCUGGGACCAUUAUCUGCUGGAGUAGAUGCAGCAGUGAUCGACAAAGUACUCUGAGAAGCACCACGAAGGUCUAGCAAGGUGGCCGUACGUGCAGUUCUUCUGCACAAAUGUUCUUUUUUCUCCCGAAACAAACCUCAUCCUCCAUAAGAUCGAUCGCUGGCUCUUGCUGUCUUGCAUCCUGUUGACACCGCACUACGCCCUCCAUUUUCCAGCCAAUUGUAGAUUUGUAGCGCACUACAUGCAGCGCCCUGUUUAACCUCACCAUAAAGCAAGAACCUGGAGAAGAGGGAUAGGCAAGCAAGAACCUAGAGAAGAGGGUAGGCAGGCAGAUGCUGGUGCUCAAUUUGGUACUCUCAUUCCUCAUCCUUUCUCCGGUCAUUCUUGUGAUCCACAUUAAAUAUAAGGCGUUGGCUCCAUCACUUCCUACUGGGUUCUCUCUCACAGCAAACAAACAAAGAAAGCAUGAUGCACAUGGUAGAUGCGGACUGGGAUCCCCUGACAUGUGCCAGUGUAACAUGUGGGCCCCACAAGUCAGUGGCCCCAUGUUACCCGGACAUGUGUCAGGUGAUGGACAUGUCUACUGCAAACAUUCUAUAAUUUGAUAAAUUUGUAUGAGGGUGAUGUUGAGGUCCACUGUCGUAUAAAUACUCCCCGAAAGACCGAAUCAACGCAAGAACAUAAACAUAAAUGGGUCUUGCUGCCUUCUUUUUUAUCUUGCUGUCCCUCUGGGUUCAGGAUGCAGCUGCCACUAUUGGUUUCACAAGAGGUGAUUUUGCACAAGACUUCGUCUUUGGAGCUGGAACCUCAGCAUACCAGGUAACAUGAUGAAAUCUUGUUUGUGCUGAAAAUUAUGGCUUGCUAAAGUUUGAUGUUCCCCAUCUGCAUAUAGUACGAGGGUGCUGUUGCUGAGGAUGGCAGGAGUCCAAGCUUUUGGGACACUUUCACUCAUGCAGGUUAGUUGCUAACUUGCUACCUAUUUGUGCGGUUUAUCUUUCUGAUUUUGGAGUGCUGCAACAUCUGAUUAAAUUUUGGGCUGCAAAUUUGAUAAAAGGAAUUGAUGUGCAUGGUAGCAUGUGACUAUUUUUGUUUUUUGUUUGUACUCCAAGAAUUGGAGUAUUUCUAGUUGCUAACAAGUAGAGAUUUUCACAAUUCCUGAUCAUUUUUCAUGACCAAUGGAGUAGAAAUUUGAGACCAGUUCCCUGUCAGACAAACACUUCCAUACAAGCACGUUGUUGUUGCUAAAGCAGCACGAAAUUGAACAUGGUAAUAGCCAAGGCCAUAACCGGCACCGCAUGUGGUUGAUCAUUGUUGACAGGUAAAAUGCCAGACAAAAGCACAGGAGAUAUUGCUGCAGAUGGGUACCAUAAAUACAAGGUAAACAAUAAGAGAAAAAUCUUCUGCUCGUGUUUCUUGGAACUCUAUGUUUAUGCAUUCACAUUAGGACAAAUUGCACCUUUCUCAGAUCUAGCAAUUCCAAAAGAAAUCAUGUACAAUUACUUGUCUGAUAUUUCAGGAGGAUCUCAAGCUCGUAUCUGAGACAGGCCUAGAGGCCUAUAGGUUCUCAAUCUCCUGGUCAAGGCUCAUCCCAAGUACAGAAUUCCUUGUAAGGUUCAUCAUGGCAUGCCAUUUUAAUUUUUUAUUCUUUUCUAACUGUUUCAGCAAAUUUCUUUGUUCGCAGAUGGACGUGGCGCUGUCAAUCCCAAAGGUCUAGAGUACUACAAUAACAUCAUAGAUGAACUAGUGAAACAUGGUAAAUACUCUUUCCAUUUCUCUAUGUCUGUCCUUGGCCCUCGGGUCUCUGUUCCAAAAUCUUUGUCCCAGAAUCAAUAGUGUAGCUAAUUCAAUUCUUCUACUCCCUACCCCUACUUUAAUGUUUUUUUACCGAAUACUUUAAUGUUUUAGAAUUAGUUAUGUGGUUGUACUCCGUAGCAUACUAGAAUGGCAUUUGAUAAGGCUAUGCAUAUUCAUUUCAUUAAUAACUCUUUUGUAGAUUUAGUUUUCCAUUUGCAUGUGUACAUGGUGGACUCAGGACAGAUAUAGCCUUAUAUUUUAACCUUUGAUCAUCCAAAUGCAAUCCAGGCUUAGGUUCAUUUGUUAGAUCUUAACAUUGUUUUUCUUAGAGAUGUAUUAAUGUAUACACUAAUAAAUGUUUUGUCCAGGCAUUCAAAUACACAUCACACUUCACCAUGUAGAUCUCCCUCAAAUUCUUGAAGACGAGUAUGGUGGAUGGUUAAGCCCCAGAAUUAUGUAAGUUUGCAUAAGGCUUCAAAAAAAAAGAGAGAAAUAACUUUCUUUCUGAGUGGCAGUUCUGUAGUAACAGUGGCAUACAACCUAACUACAGUAUUCAUGGUUUUGCAUCUGCAAAAUGCAGCGAAGAUUUCACAGCAUAUGCAGAUAUUUGCUUCAGGGAGUUCGGAGAUAGGGUCACGUACUGGACUACGGUUAAUGAACUGAACGGUUGUGCAAUUGCCUCUUAUGGCAGCGGUCAAUUUCCACCUGGAAGAUGCUCAGAUCCAUUUGGAAUAACACAGUGCGCAGGGGGGAACUCCAGCACUGAACCAUACAUAGCAGUUCAUACUACCCUAUUGGCGCAUGCAUCAGUUGUCAAACUGUACAGAGAAAAAUAUAAAGUGAGUAAAUGAUCUUGUACCCAAAAUAGUUUCGUUGCCCUUUAGGGUCUUCAGGAACUGUGACAGUAUUAGCCAUCUUAGCUUAUCUCAAUGGUGAAACCACUAUUUUCAGUCGUUGCACAUUGACCAUACCAUAACUCAUCUUUGUGAUACACGUUUCAGAAGAAUAUUGCCUUUUCCUAUUUCCUGUUACAGUGCAAAUUUUUAGAGGUGCAGCACUGCAGCCUACAGAGUAGACUCAUACAAGAAACUUUUGGAUGCAGGCUGAGCAAAAAGGAGCUGUGGGCAUAAAUAUCUACUCCUUCUGGAGUUAUCCGUUCAAAAAUUCUAGUGUGGAUUUAGAAGCAACUCAAAGAGCUAAGGAUUUCAUGUUUGGCUGGUACGGUAUUUACGUAAAUCUUGCACUAGAAACAUGUCAAAUGCAUAAUCCUGCAUGUUGAGAGCCUAACCCUGACACUGACAGGAUACUGGAGCCUUUGGUGUCCGGGGACUACCCAGAAGUAAUGAAGAAGAUUGUUGGCUCUCGCCUUCCAUCCUUCACAAAAGUUCAGUCUGGACUUAUCAAGGAUUCUUUUGAUUUUUUUGGAAUAAAUCACUACUAUUCUCUCUAUGUGAGUGACCGUCCUAUAGAAACAGGUGUUCGAGACUUCUAUGGAGACAUGUCCAUUAGUUACAGAGGUAAACAUCUUUUUUGUUCUUCUUCUGAUGGUGAUAGGUCAAAUUGUUGCUUGACUACUAGUAAUUUUGUGACAUGUACAAUUUGAUUCUUCUUUAUAAAUUAAAAUAACUGAGCACACAAGCAAAUGCUGCAAGUAAGAUAUGCAAAUAUAAACUGAGAAUCUGCUACAAUGUAUUCUACUAAUAAUAAAGAAAAGCAGCCUUUCCAGAUCAAUGAGUCAUAUAACACGGACAACUCUCUGAGUGCAGUGUUCUGUCAAAAUCACCGCAAAAACAUGUUUGCCGUCUUGAAAGUGACAUUUAUUCACCACCUUAUUAGAGAAAUACAGUGAUUUUAUGAUUGCAGUGGCGUGCCUUUGUUGCUCUAACAAGAUAAUUAUUUGUGUGCUGCAGCUUCUAGGACCGGUCCGCCAGCAGGUCAGGUAAAAUCCUGUCGUUGUGUGAGGUUGCCAACUCCAAACCUUUUGGUCGUGCACUGCAACUAUUGAAUUAGAAUACCGAACUGACUCAAGAGAUUAGACCAAAAGAAUGCUUAAAACUGAUGAUGUGAUCAAGGUUGACAAAACAAUUUUGGUUCAUAACCGUCAUAGUUAUGAUCUUGAUUGGUCUGCAGGGUGCCCCAACAAAUGUUCCCAGCGAUCCCAAAGGGUUGCAACUUGUACUGGAGUACCUGAAAGAAGCAUAUGGGAACCCUCCCCUCUAUGUCCACGAGAAUGGCAAGCAAAUACUUCCCUCAGAAAAAAGAAAAAAAGGAUGACAAGCCCAUACAGUUUAACACGAAGCAAAGUUGUCUGAACUAAUCAAGUUGCUCCUUGUUUCUCAUCUCACCAGGUGUGGGAUCUCCCAACGACAGUCUCAAUGACAACGACAGGGUCGAGUACUUGAGCAGUUACAUGAGAAGCACACUAGACGCAAUAAGGUGCUUGAUUCACGACCAAAUGCACAACCUGCGAAAUAAAUAUUCCACCCUGACAGGAUGCCCUCUUGUUGUUUCCGCAGGAAUGGGGUUAACGUGAGAGGCUACUUCGUCUGGGCAUUCAAGGACCUAUUCGAACUCCUGGCAGGAUAUCAGUCCAAAUAUGGUCUGUACCGCGUCGAUUUCGACGACGUGAGACGGCCGCGGCAAGCCAGGCUCUCGGCUCGCUGGUACUCGGGCUUCCUGAACAAGAAUGGGUCCUCUCUUCUACUUUUAACAACACAGGAGGGCCUGAUGCCGAAGUGAACACCGCGUCCUAAGUUUGGUUCACGUGCUCAAGAGAUGGCAGUGCACGUAUGCACGCGCUAGUCUAGAGUUUGACAGAAGGCCACUGUAUUGAGCGGCAGAUUCUGAAUCUUUCUUUUCUGAAAAGACUGGUGGUACGAAAGAACUCGAGUAUAAAAACACACACAUAUUUAUUUACAAAAUAAACGGCUCGUAUUUAUUUCAGUGAAGGCAGGCUCCUGUGGAACAUGAUCCACACCACUGUGCCCAGGGGCGGCGUAGUUAGUGGGGGCUGGCGUCGAGGUGUAGUUCAGGAUGUGGUCGUUGAGAACGCGUCGUUGCGUCACGCUCUUGUGCUCAGCUGGGCGGCUGCUUGAACUCCUGAGUUCGGCGGAGAUAGAUGAUUGUGAAGGACUCAAAAACCAGCUCCUGCACAUUUCCCAGCCCCGUGGACUGCACACCGGCCAUAUAUAGCUCCUCCGCCUCUUGGAAGUGAACAUGAAAAACGUAAGCCUCGUACAACCAUCCCCAUUAGGAUACAAAGCUAGCAAUCUUCCACGCUCAUCAUCUUUUCGGCACCUUUCCGAGCCACUCUCCGCUGUGCCUGAGCCUGCAAGGUGUACUGCUUUUGCAGCACCUGGAGCCUCUCCAGGAGUUCUCGGAAUGAAGGGCGGCGUUGCGGGUCACUUGCUCACAGAAAGGAUAACCGUUUAGCGGGACCAGGGAUCGGUUGUUUACUACUACUAGUGCAUAAGACGUUGAUAUAUACCUGACCCAGCAACUCUCGAUCAUCGAUGACCACUGAGGGUCUGCGUCGCUUGGAAUUUCCAGUCUGUGAUCCAUGAAACCCACUGCUCCAAUAACCUGUGGCAUAGGUAAGGAUCGUAACAUUACGGAUUUGACACUAAUGGAAAAGCUUCUGCUGUUAUGUCCCCAAAAAAUUAAGCAAGAGACUAGCUUUUCUUAAACUGCAAUGGUGAUGAUCCGAGUUUUUCUUUUACUUAAACUAUAAAAGCUGUGUGAUUGUAGUCCGACAGUAUAUAGAUAUACUAUAAUUUUUACAAAGUGAGACACCAAAGUAGACCUUUGAGCACACCUGACUAGUAAUACAAAACAGACAUGCACAUAGCAAAUAUGUACCUGCAUUGUAUUGAGAGUAUCCCAUGGUACCUUCUGAGUAAUAAGCUCCCAUAGGACCACUCCAUAGCUGUAUACAUCAGACCUAUAUUUACCAAAAAAGGAAGAAAUGACAAAUGAGUAACCAUCUGUAGCUGUAGGUAGCAGGAAUAUCUGUUGUUCAGGAAUGUGAUGUUAAACUUACUUUUCAUUUGAAGGUUCACUUCGUAACACCUCUGGAGCCAUCCACUGCGGCUGGAUAUGGAAGCUAAGCUAUCAGAUGUUAUGUAAAUAAACAGAAAAAAUGUAGUAGGUGAAAGCUUAUGACUAUCUUGUAAAUUAGUCCGGAGAAUCCAUGUCAAAAAGUCCAGUUUGCUUGUACUUACUGUUCCUUUUCCAGUUUUUGUCGUCAGAAAUGUUUCAAGUUUGAGACGUGAAAGACCAAAGUCUGCAACCUAAUUGAACAAAGUGAGAAAAGAAAGCAUAAAGUAUGAGGAACUAACUUUCAUAGUUACCUUUACAGUCCAGUUCUUAUCAACCAACAGGUUUGACGAUUUUAAAUCACGGUGCACAACAGUGGGGAUGGAAUUGUGAAGAUAAUUCAUGCCCCUUGCCUGCAACAAUAUCAAUUAUGUUUAAGAAUCCAUAUGGCAAUCAAAGCUUCCAUACAGACAAAAUACAUACUUAUCAAACAAAAUAGUACCAACUUCUAUCUCCAGCGAUUGACUUUUGGUGAUAUAUUCUUUGGUUGCGAUCAUAAUAAUAAGAUACCAUGUUAGAUGGAAGGUACUAGUCUACUACAUGAUAUCACGUCUUUUCUUGUUCAUUCUUCCAUGCACUGAAGCUACAGAAAUGGCAAAGUUUGCAUGCAAUUCAACUCCACUUCUACACAGUUACAAAGAGUAGUCCUGUAUCUAUUCCAAAUGUAUCAUGAGAUGUUCAAGUGAAGAAUGUUUAUCCAGUUUUUCUGGAUAAUUUACAAAUAUUUAUUUCUCAAAACUUCCAUAUAAUUUAUUUCACUUGGCAUUUCCUGAUUCCUGGAAGUUGUUAAGAAGAAUACACUCACUAUGUCUAUAGCCAUGUUAACUCUCCUUCUGGGAUCCAGCUUGCCAGUGUUCUUUUGAAGCAACCGAAAUAAACUCCCUCUGCAUUAUGGAACCCAGUAAAGUGCUACACAGAGCAACCAAAAAAAUUUGAUCUCUUAUGAGAUUGUGAAGUCUAAGCAAUUACAGAAGAACGUCAAAACUCAAUUUCCAAUAACAAGAUGGUUCAAAACCCAGGGAAAACAAAAACUAGUCCAACUAGCACAAAAUAAAUGCAUGGUAAGUCAGCAGUCAUUUCAGUAUCAAAUUAAAGGGACCAAGAGUAGUUCGAGAAGAAAAAAAGGACCAAGAGUAUACCAGUACCCUUUUGAAAAAAAUGAAUUCAAACCGGGUGGUUGGUUACACAACCAUCUCCAUCCGCACCAGCCAUCGAGCCACCCAUUAAUCCUUAGAAGUGGUUUCAGUAGUAUGUGAAAAAAAAGGCCUUUACGCAAGUUGUAUUCAGAAUUCGGAUCUUCAAGCCCGGUCACUUAUGCAACAGUGGAUCAACAAGAACAAGGAGGUUUACUAACGUUUCAAACCAAAGCAUAUAUGGUAAGUUGUAUUUGGAUCUUCAACCCUAGCUUGCUUAUCUGAUAGCGUAUCAACAAGAACAAGGAGGUUUACUACUCCCUCUGACCCAUAUUACUUGUCUCAAAUUUGCCCAAAUAUGGAUGUAUCUAUGUUUAAAAAGCAUCUAAAUACAUGUAAUAUAUGGGUCGGAGGGAGUAAUUACAUUUUAGACCAGGACAUAUAUGGUCAAGAACUCCUUGGUAAGAAACAUGAAUUAUAUUAUUAUUUUAAUAGCCCAUAUCGUCAUAUAGAAAACUACUCCCUCCUUUUCACAAAGGUUGGCGUAUUUGGUUUUUUUAAGACAAAGCUUUGACCAAUGAAUUAGAAAAUGAACAUGUGUUUUUUCAUACAUGAAAUUUAUAUCAAUAGAUUCAUCUUCACAAGUUUUUACUAAUAAUUGUGGUUUCGUAUUAUAUAAAUUACAUAUUAAUAAAGUUAUCAUUUGUCAAAGCCUUGUCUUAAUGAAACCAAAUAUGCCAACCUUUGUGAAAAGGAGAGAGUACUGCUUAGUCUUUAUCUUGCACCAGGUAAAGGAAAAAGUAACAACCUCAGAGAAAAAAAUGUAGGAGAUAUAUAGCAUACCGUGGGAGAAAUUCCGUAACAAUACAAAGUUGUUGCUGUGACGCAGCGGCACCCAUGAAAAGUAUUAUAUUGGGAUGCCGUAGUUUCUUCAUCAAUGAUACCUACAUAUUUGAAGACGCAAAUAUGGUCAUGACCACAUACUAUGGAAGAGGAAUCACACGAACAUGAUUUAGCCAAUGUAUUGCUAACUGAUGUAGCCUACAAAAAUGUCAACGAAAGUGAAGAUCUGUUAACACCGUAUCCUUUCUUCAUAUUUAUCCAUAUGAUUACAUCAACAUAGAAUAUUGAAUAUAGCAAUUAUAGAUUAUGUGAACAUCAGGAGGUCCUUGCAAUGUUCUCGAGUAUAUUUCUCAAUAAUACAGUACAUAUAAUGCAGCUCUGUUGACAUCAUAUUCAAUUUCCUGAGUAAUUGAGGGCCAACAAAAAUUGUAUUUAGAUAUAGAUGUCCACCUCUUGUCUGAAUGUAUUUAUCAUUUCUUCUGAAUAUUCCUGUUUGGAGAAUACUUUAACUGCCACAUCCUACAGGAACAUAGAUAAAUAGUGAGAAUUUUUUGUUAAGAUGUAAAGUUUCUAUCAUUAUCAGAAAGAGAACGUACAUACCGAGCCAUACCACAAAGCAUGAUACACUGUUCCGCAAGAACCUGCAUGUAUCAAACAUGAAAAUAGCACAAAUGAGUGGCAUUUGUUACAAAAGAGGACAAUACUAGAUUGUAUACAGCAGUCUAAGAAUAGUCGUAUUCUUGUUAAUUCUGCUGUCUGAUUAUCUAGGUGAUCUUUCUGCAGUAAACAAAGAGAAGAGGCAGUGAGAAUGUACUUAUAAAGAACUGAUUUGGAUUAUGCCAAUUGUAAGAGGAGCAUACAUGAGCUACUAUUAAGAGACGUGCAUAGCGAGGAACAAUUGACAAAGAACGAACUGCUUAAGUACAGUGCCUAUGCCUAAAUCUUCUGAAGUACAAGCUAUAAUACAUUGACAAAGAACAGACAUGCAUAGUGAGCAAUCCAUUACAAGAUAUAGCUAUCCCUAUGCCUAAAUAUAUAUAUUUUUUUCAAGACAAUCUUUGAAGCACAUAUCAACAAGAUAUGGGAGUGUUUACAUGUGCAGACAGAUGGAGGAAUUGCAAAGGGCGAAGUAACUACCUUGGCCUACUUGUUCUCCAAUUACUAGGUCUUCCCACAGAAUCUCGUAAUCUAAACAAUCUCCUUCAUAAUCUACUCUGUCGAUAGCACUGCUAUUAGUACUCCCAGGGCUGCUCAUACUACUCAUGCUGGUAUUGUUGAAAGUCCACCAGGAACCUGAGACCUCAUAUGUGCUUGCCUGGGCAUAUUCAGUGUCUUGGCAGUCUGGAAUUAUGAUAGGCUCUAGAACUGGAACUCUCCGAUCACUCUCGUCAUUCUCUUGCUUAUGAUGCAACUGUGUCGGGGCCAUGUUAUUCUUUCCAGAACCCUCAUCAGUUUCAUGCCCUUUCCAAGGCCAUGAUAUUCCCUUCUUGGACAAUAAUGCCUCAGCCUUUGAAGUGAACAUCUUGUGAAACCCUACUUUUCCUUCACCUGAAUCAUCACUAUUUGUUUUACUCGACUUCCGAGGCGAUUUCUCUUCGGCAACAAAGGCAUCAUGCAGUACAUCCCCACUUGGGGUGCUUUCUUCACUUGAUGUCAGCUCCACCCUGACACCAUGUUCAGAAUAUUGGCCCUCACAGCCACUGCCAUACUGUUUGUCACAAGUCUGACCUGUCUUUAUCCGAGAACGAACUUUCCUUGUAACCUUGCUAGCCUGUGUUGUUAUUCUAAUAUAAGGAAGAGAAUACACUAGGAAAUAAUUUGUGACGAAAUACCAGAAAGAGAAGCAUUCCAUUGAAACUAAACAGUGCAGUCCUUUCUCUUUGCUCAGAAAUAUGACUUACAAAGGUAGUUAUCUUGGAGGUGAUAGCAGUUUGCAGAGGUUGCUGUGAGCCAGAAGAACCUUUAUCUAGCGAACCACUUUUAGGCUCAUUGUUAGCAUGAAAAUAGGGCUUUGCUGAACUUUGGUAGGAUUCUGCUGAGGCUGGAGGACUAAAUAUCUCCUCCAAUGCCCGUGUAUCAAGUGACAGACAUAUGAGGCCAACCAAGCUACCAUCGUCAUCGUAUAAAGGAGUGUUAUGAACAACAAUAAAAAACCGCUCUCCUGACUUGUUUUUAACGGGAAACUUCCCUCUAAAACACUUCCCCAUAAAUAUACUCUGGAUAACGACGUAGGCCGCGUCGAAGUCAGCAGGAUGACAAAUUAAUUCAACGGCAUCCUGGCCAAUUGCUUCUGAUGCAGAAUAGCCAUACAUAUGCUCGGCAUACCGGUUCCUAGGUCACAGUAAAAAGCGGACAAUUUGGUAAGCAUAGCAAUUGAACAGAGUCAGCUGUGUGUAGAAAUGCAGACUACAUUAAGAAUUCCCAUGCCUCUUGAGCCAGGUUGACCAGUCGUGAGCAUGUGAUCUACACUGAUUGCAUGCAUCAAAACGUGCCUUGACCUACCCUAAGUAAGUUACAUUACUUAUGUAUGCAUGAUGUGUUCAUAAUAAACAGCAAUGAAAAUGUCAGUUAGUUUACUUCCCAAGUCGCUGGCCAAUGUCAUAAGACACCUCAGUGUUAUCACUGGAAGAAGCUAGAGACUGCAAAUCCAUUAUUCUAAAAUUGGUAACUGCUUUCCUCCCAUGAAAGCAUUAGUUUCCCUCUACCACAGAACGCUGAUCGACCAAGACCAGUUCAAUUGCUUCAAUACAGCCCUAGGAAAGAACAUUAAAUUUUCCAACAACACACAAGAUUUGUCCAAGUCAAACUAAGUUGAAGUUCAGAGUUGAUGUUUUUAGAUCUACAUAAGUACCAGCAUCAUGUAUUCACUCAUCAAGAUUACAUAAACUAAGCACAAAGCCCCAUAUCUUACACUUGAACCUAUGCUUAAUACUGUUCCAGCAUUUCAUCGAACAUUUGGUGAACAUUGAGCAAACGCAACCGAACCAAGACAUGCAAGGGACCUCACCAGUACAGGAGCUUCCCAUCGGGUGCAAUGAUGUGCACGGCCUGUCCCAGAGACUGCAGUAUCCAGUGGCAGUGCCUGUCGGACAACCUGCCGGGGCUCUCGCGGAGCACCCGCGAGGAUUGCGGGGGCGCGGCGGCGGCGACGGCGCGCCGCGACGAAGGCAGCGGCAGCGCAGAUGAAUUGCGGCGCCGGGCAGCAAGCUGCGCACCGCGGCGCUCCGGUGCGAGCUUCCCUAACUCCCGCUUGAGCUCCGCGUGGCCCUCCUCCAGCAGCCGUAUCUUCUUCAGCAGCUCGUCCGCUUCCAUUCGCCGGCGAAGAGGUACUAUUGGAUCAAAUCAAAUGGGGAUAGAUAGCGGAAGACAUCCGCCGGCGAAGACGUCACGAGCUGGUGAUCCGCUGGGUUUGGCGCCUUUAUCUUGCUUAGAGCCUGAGCCUGGAUCCAAACAAAUGGGGAUGGCAAGUAUCACAAUCUCUCUCGCCUUUCGCUUCCGCUUCCGCUGCAUGUGGUCUUUGUUUUGGCGCUGGGCGUUUUUCGGUUUGGAUUCUCUCACAAUCUUUAGUUUCUUACAAGGAAUUAACAAGUUGUGUGCGAGCUACGAGGUGGGAAAAAGAUUGAGGCGUGGCUCAUGCCUGACAUAAUGGAGCGCGAGGUGUAGCUCUGCUGUGCUCCGCCGCCCAUGGAGCUGUCUCCCCGCACAUGCCUCGCUGUCUCUGCUCCGCUGCCUCCUCGUUGGAAGCCCAAACUAAAUUCUCCUCUUCUUGUUCCAAGUUUCCCUUCCAUGCAUGUGCGGAUGUGCCGCGCUUUGUAUCAUCAGGCUGGUAACAUAAAAAUAAAAAUAAAAAUAAAAAUAGUAUCAUCCAUUUUUUUAAGGAAAAAUAUAUUUAUUCAUUAGAAGCAUAGUACAUUGUUGAGCGUGAUGUCGUGGACGCUCAUAGACUGAAGAGCUCUGUGUAGGCAUAGGAUGUGGACGAACUAACACCUGUUCUUUUUUAGCUAGUGGCUAGAUUAUGAGCUACACCAUUACAAUCUCUGGGGAUAUGUUUGAAAGUAAAGGAUGGAGGAAAUCCUGCUGUGAAUUUCAUGAAGCAAUGGUCUUAAAGACCAAUGACCUAGAUUCUUGAGGAGCUUCAACAGCUUGAGCAAGAGUAAGAUUGUCAGUGAGGAGAGCGCCCGACUGAAACUGAAGUUGCUUGCUGGAACCUGCUGCUAGAAGUAGAGCCCAAGUUUCAGCUUGGAUGGGUGAGCUGCAGGGGGGAGAGGUCGCUGAAAUUUGCACCUUCAAUCUUCCAGAGGAAUAGAAGUGCUCUAUGUAGACUCCAGGACCUGCAUUAGCUUCUGAGGGCCCUGUUUGACUUCGAGAGAGCUUCUAGGCUGCAUCAGCGUAUAUGUGAGUACCUGGAGAGGAAAAACUCAAAGCCAAAUCAUUAGCAAUCUGCAGCUGCACAUUGGUCCUGUGAGAGAUCUCCAAGCUCAAAACCUAUGCAAUCAAUAAGAGCUUGAGCAGAUUUGUAUAUUUGACGAGGAGUGGAAGGUUUCCUGUUAAAGAGGCAGUCAUUACGGGCCUUCCAUAGGCACCAAAGAAAAGUAAAAAUAUUUUGAAUAGAGGCAAGAGGGUGCCCAGAUCUGAGGAUGAAAGAAAUGAUUUCAGCUAAAUUCUGGUGGUUGGCUGCUAUGGGUUCGGAGCGCAUAUGCCAAGGUGUAGAAAACCAGGCUGCUUUGGAGAAGGGACAAAGAAAGAAAAGAUGAAGCUAUGGUUCCACACCGGAAACAAUAUUUACUUAUAUGUCUAGAGUAUCUCCCAGCUCUUUUACUUGUAGGUAGGGCCUUUCUGAUUAGUCUCCAAGCAAAGAGUUGAACUCUAGGAAUAAGCUUUUUGGAGGACCAAAUCAUAUGGAUAAGAGAUAAAUCAAGAGGAGGUAUACAUUAGAGGAAUCUGUCACAACUUCCUGAACAAUAAUCCUGUAAGCACUUUUAGAAGAGCAAAUACCUGCAGAGUUGUGCUUCCAGCAAAUACAUCGUCACCGGAAGACUGCAAUAUGGGGGUAUUAAGAAUGAUAGCAGAGGCUUGGGGGACUAAAAAGAUUAUGAAUGAGUUCAGCAUUCCAAACUUUAGAACCUGGAAUCCAUAAAUCUUUAACUGAUGCUGGAUAAACAAAGCCAGAGUUUUGAAUGAUGAGAUGAUCAUGUAUAUUCUUCCAAAUGUUACACCAGGGAGUACUCCAAAUAGAAAUAUUUCCAUCUAUGAUUUGAUAAAAAUAGGAAUUUUCAAUGUGGUGACAUACCUUUAGAACUGAUGACCAAAAGGCCGACUUGGGGACUGCCCUGUUCGCUUUCCAUAUUGUAGUGUCCGGGAAGUACUUGGCCUUUAAGAUCUAGGCCAACAUGCUAUUUGGUUCCUGUGCAACUCUCCAUGCUGCUGAACAAAUGAGACUCAUGUUAGUAGCUUGGAUGUUUUUAAUACCAAGGCCUCCUUCUUUUUUCGGUUUACAAAGGUCUGACCAAGCACGAAGGCACAGAGGCUUUGUCUGAACCCUUCUUCAACACCUGUCCACCAGAAUUUUCUAAUGAUCGAAGUUAGUUUAGCAAGAAAUUUCUUGGUGAAAAGGAUGUUAGACAUGUAGAAGAUGGGGAUCGAGGCGAAGACCGAAUUAAUUAAAGUUAGCCUCCCUGCAUGAGAAAGUUUCUUAGCUUUGAAACCAUUAAGUUUCGCCCUGAAUUUAUCAAGAAUAAAAGAGUACGCAGAAGAGCGAUCUUUAGCUGGGAGCAUAAGUGGAUGACCAAGGUGAUUCGUGUCUUUGUCCAAGUCCUGUACAGGGAAAACCUGCCUGAUAGCAUGCCUGGUUUGAAGGUCAACAUUAUUACUAAAAAGAAUAGCAGAUUUUGCUCAAUUGGGGGUUUGACCCGAAGCAUUGCAAAAGGAAUCAAUGAUGGUUUUCGCAGUGUGGAUCUCAGUCAUACAAUCUUGACCACAAACCAACAGAUCAUCCGCAAAUAUAAUGGAAUGGAUAGGGGGGCAGCCGGGGCCUAGUGAUAUACCUGAGAGUUGUUGAUCUUGAAGAGCCUGAUGAAGAGAGAUUGAGAGCUCAUUAAUAGCAAGGACAAAAAGGUAUGGAGAUAAUGGACAUCCUUGUCUUAUUUCCCUGGAGCCUGAAAAUUUUGCAAAAGUCUUCCCAUUGAUAAUAAAUGAGAAGAUAGGUGUGGAAAUGCAAUUUUGUAUGAGACGAAUGAAAUGACCAUUCAACCCUCUACGAAUAAGGGCCUGAGCAAUGAAGUUCCACUCGAGACGAUCAAAAACUUUUGCAAGAUCCACUUUAAGCAUGAAAGCAGGUUGAUUCCAAGAGCUAAGAAAGAAGGAGUGAGAGAUCUCUUGGGCAAUGAUGAUGUUGUUACUAAUUCUCCUACCUUCGAUGAAAGCUUGCUGCAUGGAGUGUAUAUAAUCAGGAAGGUGGCUUUUGAGACGGUUGGCAAGAGUUUUGGCAAUAAUUUUGUAGAUUACAUUACAAAGACUAAUAGGUCUAAAAUCUCGUGGCGUAUUAGACACCAUUUUCUUAGGAAUAAGAGCAAUGUGGGUGUCAUUAAUUCUAGGGGGAAGAGAGCCAAUGGAAUAGAAGUUUCUAACCGUGGUUGUAACGUCAUCAGCAAUCCAAUCCCAAGCUGCAAGAUCAAAUGCAACAUUGAAUCCAUCUGGACCAGGGGAAGCAUUCCUUUUCAUCUGCUUUAACACCUGAAAGAUUUCUUCUCUAUCCGGAACUGAGUAAGUGAAAUCAUGUGAGGGGUUAAUUGAACUAUGCAGGUUGAGAUUAGGUUUAGGAAUUACAUUGUUAGAAGUAAAUAAGUUGCGAAAAUAAUCAAUAAAAGCUUUAGCUAUUAACUCUGGAUCAUGGUGAACCAUACCUGCAGCGUCCUGGAUAGAUAUGACCGAGUGAUGGAAAAAAGUUGUAUUCCUAUCUCCUUGCACCGUCCAAUGCUUCUUUGCUCUUUGCCUGUAUUGUUAUGUGAUUUUUGUCAUUAUUUCUUCAUAUUGCUUGGCUAGUUCAGCUUCUUGAGAGUGGAUUUGGGUUUGCGGAGGCUGUUUUUGGAUCUGAGCUAUCUGAUCUUCGAUUUCUUCAAGUUGUUGGCUCAAAGCACCUGCAAGGUUAGUAGUUCCAAAAGCAAAGUCCUUGUUAGCCGUUUGAGCCCAACAGGAUUUAGCCGUGUUCUGAAAGUCAUUCUCCAUGAGUCACCAAUUUUUAAAUUUAAAAUUCAGUUUCGGCCUUUUAAAAGCAGACUCCGUAUCAAAUAAACAGGGUCAGACAUGAAGCGCUUGUUAGUCCAAGUAUAGGCUUGACCAUUGUAACCCAUAUCAAAUAAACCGGAACGCUUGACAAUAAGAUUAAAAGCACGCAUACGAGCUCGGUUAAUGCACUGAUUACUUUUAUCCACGGGACUCAUAAUAUCGUUGAAGUCACCCAUACGGAGGACGGGAGUACCUUGGUUAUCAUACACAAAUUCUUCCACCAAGUCCCAUAAUCUUGCAGUUAAACGAUGGUUAGGAUCACCAUACAUGCAAACUAAAGCGAAAGACAACCUAGAAGUCCUACUAUAAACCAAAGCUGUUAUGAGAUGAUUGGAGGUAUGCUUAACAUUCACAUCAACUUCAUCAGUCCAUAAAAGCCACAUACCGUUAGAUCGGCCCGACGAAGGAACAACUAAACUAUCGGAAAUACCAAAAUGAUUAUUAAGAUGUGAGGGAGAGAAUUUACAGGAUUUGGUAUCAUCCAUAUGAUAUUACUCUGCGUUACUAGGGGCUUCAUUUAUUGACUUAUAAAAAACAUUAUGCCUUGAAAAAACGUUAUGUUACCGGUAUCAUAUUAUGAUACCACUGCCAUCUCUUUUUUUUAUUUAAUGAGGUGCCACAUCAUCUAAAUGCCAACGUGGUUCUGCAUGAUACUAUCUUUGUUACUGACACUAUGACCAGCCUCAUCUCCAGUGGCGUCUCCUAAGCACAAGUAAUCAGCUUUUCGACACUGCGGUUCAGAGCAAGUCCAACUGCUCUCCUAAAAUUUCUCCCCUAUAUGUCAAAAUGAGGGACUCCCCUAAAAAUAUUCUAGUCUGAAAAUUGCCCAACUCCAGCAGUUCCCUAAAAGAUCUCUAAGAAUUUUCUAUAACUACCAUUUGAAACCCAACCGUUACUUCUUCAACGGCUUGUUUUUGAACAGCUGGAUUUCUAACGGUUACUUUUCUGAUCUAUAUAUACAUGAUCAUCUCUCACAAUCUGGGAAGUACCAAUCUCGAGCUCGAUUCAGGCUUGAUCCGAACCAAAAAGCCAGAGAAACGAGGAUGGGGACGUACCUGUCGACGCGCAUGGUGGCGGGAGGGAGCGAGCGGUUGCUCCCUGGCAUGGAUAAGGGAGGCCUCCACCACCCUGAUCUAUAGGGGAGAAGGUGGUGGAUCGGGGACGCCGAUUUUUCAGGGAGGGGAUAGGGGAACUGGUUGAGAGCGUUUUUUGCCUUUUCUUCCCUAAAAAUGCUAUUGGGGAGGUGAUAAGAGAACUGCUGGACUUGCUCUUAGAACUCGGAUCAUGCAUGGUAGGCAGUACGGCCGUUUGCAAGAGCUAACAUAUUGUAUUUGUACGUGAUAUUAAAGCAAUUCAUCCAAAAGUUAUUGGGAUAUGAGCAUCAUUGAACGUUAGGAAGACAAAAUUUAUCAAUCCUAGUAAUACCUAGAAAAGUAGGGUAACCAAUCCCACAACACACAAAGGUAUAGAAGUAUAUUGAGUCAAAUGAUGUUUUGAACACAAGAAAACAUUUUAUUUGUAAGCAAUUUUAUAUUGUCGGGCAAUGGAUCAAAUGGUUGUAAACAUACUGAUUGAAGUUUGUACGUCAUAUUAGCUUAAUAUCAUAAAUUAAAGUUCUGAUCACUUGCCAGCCACAAAGUUAAAGUUCGCAUCCAAAUUGGUCCAACGGUUGUUUACACUGAUUGGUUGUCUGUAUGUUUGUAGUAGUAGGUAGAAUUUUCUAUGGUUGUAUAUCAUAAUAGUACAAGAUUAUUGUCUUAAUGAAUAUUCUGUUGAUACUUGAAUUAAAGCUCAAAUUGCGACCUAUUCGCUCUUCUAACUUUGCAUGUUUGGUUCGCUACCUCAUGAGUCGCUCCUCGCUUGCGUAUGAUAUAAAAUUAGUAGCAGGAGUUAACAUUAUGGAAUCAUGUGUAGUCCAUAUCUUAGCAAUAAUAUGUUGACAAGUAGAUUUAGAGUUUUCAAAUAUCUUUAAUAAUUCAUCCUUACAAAUUUAUAGAUUAUGAUAAAUGGAGUUGCACUUGGUACUUCCUAAAAUUCUCAUGGUUUACGAAGAACCUGAUCUUUUCGACUUAUUGAUCUGAAGCCCUUAAUUGAGUUUUUUAUUUUGGCUUUCAGAACCGAUUUUUCCGGAAAAGCUACCCUUUUCCAACUUCCUAGAAAAUCAGUCACCCACAGGCUUCCAAACAAAUUUAGAAUAAAAAUAUAAAAUAAUUUAGAAGCAUAACCAAGUUUCGGGUCGACUUCUCUAGAAAGCUUUAGAGGAGUGUAGUUUAGUGGCAAAGCCGUGGCUGUGCCACCUACGGCAUCUACCCCCACCGCAGGAACCACACAUUUCGGAGAGAGAGAGUAUUAGAGAAAGAUGAUUAACAAAAAUGUAGUACUUGUGGCAGACUUAUUAAUGCUUUUGUGUCAGAUUUUUCUUUCCCUUUUAGACUUGACCACUACCAAUUUUUCGUAUUUUCUUUGCUUCUCUUUCUCCUCUCUUCUUUUGUUGCUCAAAUUUUGAAAGACGAAAUAAUUUACUCAUGGGACAUAUUUUAGUGAGUCAUGGUACAUAUACAACAAAUGACGGUACAUUGAUCGUUUCUUAAUGUACCCAUCGGUACUAACGAGAGUACAUGACAGUACUCAAAUCACAGAAUGAACAUCUACCAAAAGAAGACGAGUACCUCUUCAAUACUUAGUUGUACGUGAUGGUACUCAAAUCAAAGUACAUCAACUUAUAAUUGUACAUCAUGUACCGGGAAAUAAAAACACAAACAUUCAUCAAAUCAUAGUAUCUCGUCAUGUACGAUUCAUCAAAAUUUAGUACCUCAUGUGUAAAUAGUGUGUACAGCAACUCAUAAUUGUACAUCAUGGACCAGAAAAAUAUCACAGCUCAAACAUUCAUCAAAAAUUAGUACCUCGUCAUGUAUCCAUGGUACAUGAUGGUACUCAAAAAUUAUAUCACAAAUAUGAUAAAUACCUUAUCAAUUUGUGAUGCGAGUACAUCGAUCCACAACAAAAAUACAUAGAAAAAAAGAAAUAGGCAGCAAACUACGAACUUUUCAGCUAGCUAGCAGGCAAAUGCAAGUACCAAAUACUCAUCCCAUGUACCAAAUAGACGUGAACAAGAAAAAUGCAAGUACCAGCUAGGUACAUCAUGUACUCAUCACAUGUACUCAUCCCAAAUAGUAGCACAUACAUCAAAUUCACACCAGAAAUCCCAAAAGGGACGAGGAGGACGCGUGGCCUGGCGAGGGAGAGCACGAAGUGGUGGCCGAGCACCGGGAGUAGCAGCGGUCGCGGCGUCCCGACACGCGGAGCAGCAGCUCGCAGCAUGGGGAGCAGAAGCUCGCGGACCAGCACCUCGCGGCACAUAGAGCAGCAUUACGCGGAGCAGCAGCUCGGCAGGAGCCCGUCCCGUGCCGGAUGGGGACGGGAUGGAGGAGGAGGAGGCGGGGCCGCAAGCGCCGCAGCAACGGAGUCGGUCUUCCCUGCCAUGGCACUUGGGCUCUUGCUGGACGAAGAAAGAAGAAGGGGAGAAAAGAGAAUAGAGAACAGAGAGAGACGAGAGAGGAACGGGAGAGGAAGAACGUGGGUGCCAAGGAUUAGCCAAAAGUACAUAGAGAUUAAGAAGUGAAAGUGAACACGUGGAUGUAGAUAGGUGGGUUGGUACCGGGAGGUUUGGCGUUUAGUGGAGUACCUGUGCCUAAGCAAAAGUGGAGUAAGAAAAACCAGAGAAAAAUGAGUAUUUUAGAUCUUGAGAGAGGAUUUUUUUUCUUUGCCUCUCUUGAUGAUGGACAGCUCCGGCGCGGCGGCUGCUGCUACGGCGGCGGGACGGACGCGCGCGCGGUGGUGCUACUGCCGUUGCUUCCGGCGGUGGGGCCGCUGCUUCUGCUGCUGCUACUGCUGCAACUCCUUCCCCACCCAGGACGACCUCCGACGCGACGCGACGCCGCCGCCUGGCCCCCGCCUCUCCCUGUAGCUAGGGUGGUCUCCAGGUUCCACUCCCAUCCCAGGCACCCAGGCUCUGCUCCUUCUCCCCGCUAAUCACUCGUGUGACUCACGUGCCUCGUCGAUUCGGGCGUGCGCCUUCUAGUUGGUGUGGUGUAGUCAGCAUGAUUAGGUUGUUAGUUUGUUAUUCCGCUUCCGCGUGCCUGUCGCGUGAUCAUGGCGGGAGAUUUUGCUUCGGUUUGCUCCAGAUCGUCGUAGCUAGCAGCGUGGUGUGUCGUCGGGCGUUGCGUGAUGUCCACGGGCGGCCGGAGGAUCGCGUGAUCGCGUCCAGGCUAGCUGCUCCUCUGCUCUGCCGGGAUGGACCAGUUUGUUAGUUCAUUAGGUGCACUCUGCAGGUGAUCACUAUGUUAAUCUGUGCACGACCUUCUCAUGCUUGAUUAGUUGAUCUUUGUAAUAGGGAAGAUAUGCAGUUGAUUGUGUAUUGCUGUUGCGUCGGGCUUGUUUCGGCACCAGUGUGUAAACUAACUGAAUUCAGUAAUCAGUAGUGAACUGGGUCGGCAUUCCAGUGUGAAUUGCGCAGACUAACAGGUGAUCUUGUGAUUUGAGUAUGGCCGCGUGUGGGGGGUUCUAGUUCUUGUAUUCCAAAUCUUGCUCUGUUUGUAUGACAAAGAAAUGAAUGGAUAUUAAUUGGGUGUUUUCUGUUGCCUAUAAAACCACUCUGUGCCAUUCCAGAUUUGUCGCUGAUUACUAUUUGAACUAGUACUCUGCCAUGAUGCACUCUGUGGUUGAGCAACAAGUGUAAAUUCAAAAGAUUGUAUUAAUUUGAUCAAGAGGAAGUCAUUGAUGAUUGCUCUUGGCUGAUGGUACAGAUAGAAUAAUCUAUGUGUCAUUAGUUGUGAUUAUACUUUAUUUGAGUGUGCAUGAUUUACCUUCUUAACUGUUAUUAGCGCUGUAAAUUCAGUUCAUUGAUAAUAACACGAAGUUAUCUGUUGCUUCUACUAGUAUCAUGAAUUUAAUUGUUUCUGCUACUGGUGACAUAACCUAUAUGUUCUUGACAAAAGGCACUGGGCGCUGAUACGGUAAAAAAAGCAUUUCAUUGGGCAGAUACGGUAAAAAAAAACAUUGGGCGCUAAUUUUACAUGUUUUAGAUAGUUCUAAGCAACAAUCCAUUUUCUUAGCUUAAUGUCCUGCUUUCCGUGUUGGGUUUCCACAAAUGUUUGGUUUGACCUUCAUUUUGUUCAUUUAAUCAGGUUCACUUUUCGUUUACACAUAUGCGAACCAUGAGGAGAACUGUAUCAGGUUUUGUUGCUAUAGUUCACAAAGAAGUGCAAAAGACGUGAAACUUCAUUAGUUGUUUGGCUGGUUGCUAGACAAAUAUAUACUCCCUCGGUCCCUCAAAAAAGUGACGUGGAUUUGUAUUCCGGACGGAGGAGUACUUAUGUUGCAGCUAGACUAGUAGGCUGUUUGGAUUGGAAGUAAUCUAGUUUAGUUAGAAGUCCAUGACUAAAAUUUUACUACCAUGUGCAAUAACAGGGACCAAUUGUGCUUAUAUCUAUAUCAGUUUGCUAAACCAGAGGUGAAUGCUUCUUGGAACAUACAUUGAGUACUUUAAGGCAUAUGCUUGAACUGUAUAUAAGGUAAUUUCAUGUGCCCCUUUACCGUACAAUGCUUGAAUUACCUGUAUAUAAGGUAAUUUUAUGUAUAUAAGUACAUAUUGAUCAUCCUUGUACAAUCAUACUGCUCCUCUCAGUGUGCAACGGCUGUUUAGCCUGCUAUAAAUUCAUCUGGGUUUUGCUGGAGAUCGACAUUUUAAUUUGACUUGUCAUUAAUUGAGCAAUGCUCAUUCUGUUUUCAUUUUGUUGCAAUUGGCAUAAUUGCAUCCCUGUAAAUGCCAUUUUCAGAUCUAUCCUGGCAUAUAGUCAUGUACUUCCUCCGUUCCAUAAAGAUUGGGGCGGCUUUUUUUUUUUUGAAACGGAGGCUAAAGCUUUGCCUCAUCAUAUCUUCUAUAUCUAAGUAGAAAUCUCCCACUACCUAUUUUUCUCAACAUGCAAGCAUGUCACAUCAAACCAUGCCACCUUAUCAAGUCAUGCAUGACUUUCUUUUUUUCAAGCCAUGCAUGUAUUCAUUUACAAUUUUUGCAUUUAAUUAUCAAUUCAAGCAUCUCACCUCAUCAAUUAAUUCAAGUACUCACUUCAUCCUGAAAUAAUUGACGUGGAUUUGUAUAUUUUCAAGCCAUGCAUGUAUUCAUUUACAAUUAAUGCAUUUAGUUAUCAAUUCAAACAUAUGUCACCUCAUCGCUCCAUCCUGAAAUAAGCCUCUAUUUCAGGACGAAGGGAGUAUUAAUUUUUUGGGAAAAAUUUAUCUCUCUUUAUACAUAAUUUUGUCACGAAAACCAUGCCACCUCAUCAAAAUCAUGCAUGACAUUUUUUCAAGCCAUGCAUGUAUUCAUUUAUAUUUUUUCAUUAAUCUAUCAAUUCCAACCGUGACAUCAAUUUAAUCAUAUCUUCCUUUUUUUAAAAAUUGUUCCCUUUAUAUACAUCAUUUUGUCACGUACUCGUUCUGAUCCUAAAUUCUUGACUCAAAUUGUUUUUGACCAAAAACAGGAGGAGAGGCUACUACUGCUGUAUAUAUUAUAUAUAAAUAAUAUUUACAUAUUUACAAAUGUACAAAUAGGGGCAUUCUCCUAUUUUAUUCAGAAAAGAUCUAUCAAACUAGUAAGAGAAGGAGAAAGGGAUUGAGGCACCCUACAGCCUAGUAGAGAUAAAUCUGAUUUGAACUUUACUAACCAACCCUGGAAAUUGGCUCUCUCUCCCUCGAAAAUGAGUUUAUUUCUAAUUUUCCAGAUAUUCAAAGCAGCUAACGAAAACACCUCAAAAAAGAGAGGGUCAUUAAAUCUUCUUUUGAUCUCAGGAAGAGCUUCAAUGCAGGUAGAAUUUCUUGGCCAGUUUAUAUCAAUGUGUCUCCAACACCUUUGACUGAAUGGACACUCCAAGAAGAGGUGAUUCAAGGUUUCUUCACAUCCAGUGUUGCAAAGCACACAAUUCAAACUUGAAUCAAUAUUAAAGUGUCUCCUGGAGAGCAUAUUUCUGGUGUUCAAUCUGUCACUAAGAAGAAGCCAAGCAAAAACCUUCACCUUUAGAGUAUUUUUAGAUUUCCAAAUCCACUUAAAAGGGGCAGGUGUGAUGAUCCUGGAGUAACAAAGCUUAUAGAAUUUGCUUGAUGAAAAGGUAGUACCCCAAGAUGGCAGCCAAAGAUCAUUUCUGAGAACUGAAAUAUCAGCAUCAAUUAUUAACUCAUCCAGGACAUGCAUUUGCUCAAGAGCUUCUGGAGAAAUUGGAGUUAAAAAUCCUGCAGCAACUGAGCCAAGGUUGCAAUAUUUCUUAAAAAGCGUCUAGAUACAUGUAAUAUUUCGAUAACAAUUUAGGAUCGGAGGGAGUACUUCUUAAAUUUAAUUGUUUUAAAUGUAAAACAAGAACACUUUAUAUUUUUUUCCAUUAGGUUUAGUUAAUUUUAAACAUAUAUUUAUGCAUUUGUAUUAAUACACGGUUCCGCGGCAACGCGCGGGUCAUCAUCUAGUUGAUUAAGAAAGAGUGUUACAAGAGAAUAACAAAACAAAAUCUAGCCAAACCGGCACAUGAACGAACUACUCUCGCGGUAAGAAAGAUCUCAAAUCAAUGGCACCCGCAACCCCCCAAGUAGAGGCCUCCCUUUUAAUUUUACUUGCGACGACCAUGGGCAUAGAGAAGAUCUUCCAGAACACCCUCGCGUUUCUUUCAUUCCAAAUCUCCCAAGAAACAAGCAUCACCAAAGUGGCCAUGCCUUCUCGUCGAUUCCCUUGAAUGUUGAUAACGGAACACCACCAAUCCUUGAUCGAAUUAAAGCUUGACCAAUGUAACAAAUCAAUAUGAACGAGACCCAACCAAUCUCUGAUCAUUCGCCAAACAUUCAACGAGUAACGACAUUUGAAGAACAAAUGAGCCGCAGAUUCCUGCUCCCUCUUGCAAAGCUGACAAAGGUUGCAGUUAGGCCAUCCUCGCCGCUGCAGCCGGUCAGCUGUCCAAACCCGAUUCUGAAUAAUGAGCCACGCAAAAAGUUUGCACUUUGGUGGCGCCCAAUUCUUCCAAACAGCAGCCUUCAUAAUUGAACCGGCGGUUCCUUCAAAGUGAGCUCUAUAUGCCGAGGCCGCCGAAUAAACCCCAGAGGCACAGAGACUCCAAGUGAUGUCAUCCGGAACAGGUGCACGGCCUGCAAUCUUCCCCACAGAUCAAGAAUUUGAUGAGAUGCUGCACUGUGAGACCCUCAGAAAUAUUGAUGUUGCUAAUCCAGAGAUUAUGGCCCAAAGCUUUUUUGACACAUGAAUUCUUCAGCUUUGAAAUUGCAAAGAUGGAAGGAGUUGGGCUUGCGCCCUCCAAUCCAAAGGGAGUGCCAACCUUUAUGGAAUGGAAGAAGUAGCUAAUCUCUCUUCAGAUUUGUACAUAAGAAGUGUAUCAUUUGUCAUAUUUCUGUACUGAACUGCAAAAUAUGGGGACGGAGAGAGUAGUAUUUUUUAUGAACAAAAAUGAGAAACAAGAAACGAAAAGGUUGCUUCUUGUCAUGACUUGGCAAGCAAAGCAAAGCACCGGUUUAAGCAGGCAACACCAUGGCGCGCGAACAGACGCAGAGCUGUCUAUCUGUUGUUGCACGGAGACGGGGAGAAAGCGAAACGAGGAAGGAACUGCAUGCGGGGGCAUUGGAUAGCUGCUGCUGCUUCCACCCUUUUCCUAUUUCGUUGCCUAGCCUGUCUCAUGUGUCCCUACCUCCCAAGUUGUUCACUUACACAGACAGACACGCCUUCUUUCAUUUUUCCCAACUAGUACUGCUAUUGCCCAUCACACGCCUCUGUUCAGUCAUUCUCGCACCACCUCUGACCUCCCUCAACCACUGCUCUGGCUACUUCUUUUAUGCUUAAACUGCACCUUCUGCUGCAGUUCUGAUACUUGGCUGUGUAGAGUCUAGACUGAGCUCCCUGAAAGCUGAAACUCUGAAACAGACCAGCACCUCAGCUCCAUCCCUUCAUGUUUGCUCUGCAAGCAGCAUCAAGCCCAGAGCAUGCAUCUGAGCCAAAGCAACUGCUCGCUCAACUUUGACAUGGUCAAUACAGCACGAAAAGCCUUUAGCAACUUUUUUCCUUUGUCCACUUUCUGGCCGGUGCAAGUACUGUUUUUGCCGGAGUCAACUUUGUACGUCAUGGAGGAGUGGAUGUGGAGGGGAAGAUCUUUCCAUGCCAGAGAGAUCUCCCUCCUGGCCGGGGUCAACAAGCGGAUAUGGAUUCCAUCCGGACAAAAAAAAGCUUCAACCUGCAGCAAAUACUUUCAGUUCCGAUUCUGUCGUACAGGAAUGGGGGAGAUCGGAUCAGGUCCCUAUCCGUCCUACUUUGUCCCUCCAUCCAUUCGUCCGUCCACUAGCACUUGUAUGAUCCAUUCAUUCCUCCCCUGUUCCGCCGGAAGGGCGUCCUAGAAUCAAACUGUUCCGAGCUUUUUAGCCAGAUCUCUCUUCGAAAAGUUCACACCACAUCUUUUUUUCCUGUUAUUAGUAGCUUUUCUGUUGCUCUGAAAAGAGGCUAGUGGUAAUUGACUUGUUGCCCAACAUCUUGGUUCCUGGGGAAAAGGAAAGGAAUGUACAGCCGGUCAAUCUUUGUACAGGAGGCCUAGAGGAAUUAUCUUUCGGCUAGACAAGAUAUGUGAGAAUUGUUUAUUUCUGAAGAUCGUUAAUUACAGUACAGCAGGUUAGGUUAGCCUUAAUCAUGGAUGGGUACGUACUCCACUGUACAGCGCAAACUGGAAGAAGAAGUUAAAAGCAUCUUUUCCCCAUCCAUUUCGGGUGCCAUUUAUGAUCAGACAAGCAUGUCCAACUGUUAUGAACUCGGCAGGCAGCAUUUGGUCGAUCGGUCGGGAACCCCAAACAAAGAAAGAAAGAAACACACAAGGGUGGUGGAAGUGGAAGAAGCAGAGCCGGCGGCGCCAUUGACGAGUGAGUGAGUCCGUUAAGUUAGUUGCUGCCGCUGCAGAGGUCGAGCAGCUUCUUCCUCCCCUCGACGAUCUCGUCGAACAGGUCGUCGAUGAGCGCCACCAUGUCGUCGCAGCCCGACCGCAGCGUCCCGGCCCACUGGGCCACCUCCUCCGCCGCGGCGCCCGCCCCGCUGCCGCCGCCCCUGUCCAUGGCGUCCUUGAGCUGCUCCACGGCCGUCCUGGCGCGCCGGAACUCGUACAUCAUGGCCCCCGCCGCGGACGCCCUGUCGGCCUCCGCCGCCGCCCGCUGCUGCGCGCGCGACAGCGCCGACGCGAACGCCGGGCCGAAGUGGGCGCCGCCGCAGUCCCCAGGAGCAGUGGAGCCGGCGCGGGAGGAGGGCGAGUAGUGGAGCAGGCCCCAGGAGAGGAGCGUGAGGAGGAAGGAGGCGAGCAUCCUGGUGGCGCAGAGCACGCCCCGGAAGCCGUUGAAGCCGCUGAGCGCCUUGGCGGCGUCCGGCGGCACGCCCUCGCUGAGGCGGAGUGCGAGCUCCUCGCCCCGCGUCUCCACCAGCGCCCUGUUCUCCUCCUUGAGCGCCGACGCCUCCCUCCUGCACACCGAGAUCGCCCGCGUCACCUGGUCACAAAUUAAUCACCGAUUCGAGCCAUUAAUUAACCAUGGCAUGAUGCAAUGCAAAGGUUAAUUGAUCGAUCGAAUUGGCUUGCCUGGCGGGAGAGGUUGGGGCUGGCGCCUGAGGCGGAGGUCUGGAGGAGGGAGGCGGCGUGGGCGGCAGAGGCGGAGAAGGCCUCGAUGGCGGCGGCGCCCAGGCGGAGCGCGGCGCAUGCGUCGCAGAGGCGGGAGGUCUCGUCCAUGUACUCGUCGAGCCAGGCGGCGCCGCCGGGGAGGUGGAGGGAGGCGACGAGGCGGGUGAGCCCCGCGUGCGCCGCGCGGAGGAGCGCCAGGGCGGCGCGGAGGGACGGCAGCGAGAGGAAGGACCCCGACGCCAGGGAGCGGUCCAGGUCGUCCAGCCCCCGGGCCAGCGUCGCGUAGAAGGCGGCCGCCGUCGAAGAGGACGGCUUCAUCAGGGCUAUACCGGCAGUCCGUGUUUGUGGGAAGCCAGAGAGAGAGAGAGAGAGAGAUGAGCUGUGCUGUGUGCCCGUGUGUCGUAAUAAUGGCGCGGCGCGAAUGCAACCGUGCGGUGGGGGAGGAGGACGAAGGCGACCUUGUUCUUACUCCCAAGACAACUAGGCAAGCCAAGGCAAGGUGAAAGCGAUGUGUGGAGCUAGCUUAGGCUGCCCCUCUCUUUCAUGUGGCCAUGGAGGCUGGCUGGUCCAAGAGAGCGAGAUGGGAUGGCGAAUUGGCGAUGGGAAGAUGGAAACUCUCUGUGGGGCUAGCUGUGCCUUAUAUAGGGCCGGCAUUCUGCUAGCUACGGCCUGGAGUAAUACGGCGGGUGCCUACUGUGGAGUAUCAGCCAGCCGGAGCCGCACACGCGCUUGCCCACGGACGGACAACGGCAGGCAGAGUCGGUGGGUCGCAGGAGACCGUGAUGAGUCUUUUGCGAAUUUCUAACUUGAUUUAAACUUGUGAGACUUCGUUAAGAUAUCGAGUAAAAUAGACAUGAAUCCAUAGACUCUAACGAAAUAAACAUUUUAGCCCACGAACUCACAGAACGCACACCUAAGUCCAUAAAGUGUAACACUUUGGUCCAGAAACGGUUCGGCCAGACUAAAACGACGUGGCCGUCACAUCGGCUAAGGGCAGGACGGGGGGUUGGUACCCCUCUGUCUUAGGGUGUUCUUUUUUGCAUCCAAAGGGAGAUUAGGAGACGAACGGUUCGGCUUCCGCAUUGCGUUCGUGCGCUCUGCUCUGCCUCUCUCCCCCUCGACGCAUCGGGGCGAUCAAGAGAAGUAAAGAGUAGGAAGAAGAAAGAAAAAGAUGAAAAGACCAUCCUACCCUUCUGAGUUUGGGGAGGGGGGUGUAUUGAAUUGGGCCUCGAUGCAAGUAGAGCCCACAUUUAAUUUCGACUGCUGAGAGUUGGCUUCAUGCCUUCAUGUCUAGACCCCGAAACUUUUGCUCUGGUAGAGUUUAGAGCGAUCGCCAUAAUGGAGGUUUAGAGCAAAUUGCAGGAACAUCCUGCCCAAAACUCGUACCACAUUGCGUUGCAGCAUUUUUUUUUCCGAUGUGUAGCAUUCAUUUCAUAGGAAUUGAGGUGCUAGAUUCCUAAGGACUGAUCCCAGAUUGAUCUAAUUCCUCAGUGUAGAUUAGGUGAGACCUCAUUUAAAAUUUCUAAGGAUUGAAGUGUACAUGACAUUUCAAUCCUCUACUUUUUCCAUUCCUAUGAUUCUAAAAUCCUACAAACCAAAUAGGCUCUCCAUCUACAGCAGCACUUAGAUCUCCGGGAUCUUAUUCCGAUUCCAUACGUACUCAACAUCGUGUAGUACAAGCGAACUGAGCCUAACUCAGGUGGUUGGUUCCUUGUGGUGGAACCAGCCCACCAAAGUUCAAGUCCCAGACUUGGCAUGGGUGCUCGCAUUUCCUGAAUUUAUUCCAGGCUUUAACCGGCGUUGUGCUUUCAGUGGGAGUGACGUACCCGUCAACUACGAGGCGCCUGUGGUGAUUUCGUCAAUCUCAAGAUGAUCAGCCAGUGGAUCAGUCUCUCGGAGGUGCUCAUUGGAGGUGUUCAUUGGGGUAGGGUGUGCGUGCGUGCGUUCAUAGGGAUGAGUAUACGUGCUUGUGUGUGAGUGCUUGCGUCUGUACUGUGUUUUCUAAAAAAAAAACAUCGUGUAGUACAAAGGUACAUUCUCCUGCUUCUAAAUAGUUGCAGAGAUAUGCUGAUCUUAUUUGACAAUAUAAUACCACUCUUUGAUUGGCAAAUACUAAUAUAUACAUCGCCGAUCGUAAGUACGUACAUUCUCAUUUGAAUAAAAUGUUCUUUAUCUUGUGAUGGGAUCGACAUGAAACGUCUGAACAUAAUUAAAAGUGAGUCCAUGUCUUCACUAACCUACACUACUUGCAUAUAUUGCCGCCUUCUUCUCCUCCUCUUUUCUUCUUUUUAUGACAAAAACAUAAUCAAAAGGUGCCUCUCAGGUUUCAAAAGGUCCUAAAAGUUCCCAAUGGUACAUGUAAAAAUGUUUUCCUUUUUGGUACGUAGAAAUAAACAAAUAUGAUCAUUAUGUACCUGUGCUCUAAAAAAAUAUUGACCACUAAAUUUGCUUUUUACAAAACUCAUCGUUUUCUGGUAAUAGAUGAUCACAAACAUGCAUGGGUAGAAAAAUAUUAACAUUUGAAAAAUUGUCUUUCCCGUGGGAGCGCAACUUUGAAUUAACCUUAUCUACCACCCAACUACAAGAGCGACGAACUGGCCCUCACAGAAUGAGUAAACAUUUAGAAUUGUCAAAAGUUUCUAGCACAUGAACAUGUAUCAUGUAUGUGCGUUUUGUGUGCCGCCAAUUUUUUAAUUUUAAGGCCGGCAAAAAUAUUAAUGAAAUGGAACCAUUUUGCACUCAGGGCUGAAAUACACUCUCAUUAAACAUUUUCACACAAGGCACAAAACUUAUUAUUUGUUUCCACCAAAAAAAUUUAGGGACACCAAAGACACGAAAAUGUGAAUAUGCAACAUCCAACUAUUACACAAUAGACAUUUUAAAAAAAUCACUCAGGAGUGUUUGCUAGUUUUAGCUCAUCAUUUUGUUAAAUUUCUGCAGCCCACGCAUGAAUUUUUCAUGAAGUCUUAAAGACUCAUAAUUUGGAGCUGUACCACUAAAUUGGCACACUUGCUUCUGUUUCCCAGGAACCUGGAUUCUUGAGAAGUAGUGGCAGUGGUUAUGGUAGGCUAGAAACAACAUUGAUUGAUUCUAAAGAAAAGGUCGUUGAUUGUAAUAUCGAAAUGAUUACAUGGAUGCCGAAUUGCUGAUAGCUUUCAUUUCAUUUCACUUCUGUUCCCAUUCAAUCCCAACGAUCGAUGGCAAUGUUGAAUAUAUCAGUGCAAUGUGUUCACGGUGGUUUAUUACCGAGACUAAUCAUCUGUUCCUCUUUUCAAGACUUUGGAAUAAUGAUUCACCAUUCUGUUUGGGAAUCAUGAACUAUGUGACCACACGGAUCAAACAAGUUUCUUUCUUUUUGUUCCGAUCAAUCACUCGCUCAAAACCCCUACUAAUUCCCUUGAGAUCCUUGGGAAUUGAAGUAGGGGAGGGUGCGUAAUGCGCUGCAUCAAAUCCAUAUCUUGAACCACUGUGUAGAUCUUCUUUUCAGAUUCUCCCUUGGCCCAAGCUCUCUGCUUUGUCCUCUGGCAAUUGAUGCAUCUUAUUGGAAUCCUCCUGUUUUUUUAUGUGCAUAAUAGUUAUCUGGCACUUCCUUUGGGGCCUUUACAUAUUCCAAGCGUAAUAAAUAUGUUAUUAUUCGGUCAAAAUAAAAUAAACACUAUGCUACUACGCUAGUCUAUUUCAAACUUGAAUAAAGAAAAUACUCAUAAGGAGUGUAUUUCAAUUGUAAGCUGCGGAGCCUACUCGGUUUUGUUUGAAGCUAACACUUUUAACAAGUUCCCAACAAGUGUUUUUUUUUUCUCAACUGAACUGAAAUACUCCUUCCAUUUGUAAAUAGAUGACUCUUUUUACAUUUGCAUGGUCUUCAGUAUAUAACUUAGGCUAUAUAUAUGAACUUUUCACAUGAACAAAUAAAAAAAAUAUAAACUUACCAUACCAUGAAAAUAUUUUCCGUAACCAAGAUAGCAUGAACAUGUGAGCAAUCUGAAUUCAUUUUCAUAUACUAGUAUUCAAAGUGUGAGAUGGAUAAUAUUGAUUCACUUUUCCAAUAGAAAUUAUGCAGGGUUCUACUUUCGUUACGGAAUCAAACACACAUGAUUGUCUGAAGGAGUGAUCUUUUUCUCAAAAAUACUACUACUAUUGCAUAUUUUAGGCAUUUUCAGUAUAAUUCCAAUGAGAACUUUAUAAUAUAGGCACAGCAGAUCUAUAAUUACAUGUUCUCUUAGGUUGGUGUUCGUGGGUUCUUGGAGAAUGUGAUGCCCGGACUCGGAGGAAGGCAUGUUGGUCCUCCACGAAGAUCUCAUUAUCUACUUGAAAAGCCUAGUCUUCAGCACACUCACUCACCACUUUAGGCUGUCCUCUAGUUAUAUUUUGAGUUUUUGACGAUGGUCUUCCAACUGAAAAAAAGAAAGAAAAGGAAGCAUAUUUUUUUUAGAGACCAGCAUACUAAUUUAUUCUGCCGGUCUUGAUUUCAAGCUAAGCAAUGUGGUCACUCCUCAUUUGAUAUAUUAUCUUCUUCUUCUUUUUCCAGUAUCAAGGCAGUAGCACUAUCUUUUUGUAAGGUGUUGUCUUGCCUUAACUCUAGUAACAAUAGCAGAGAAGCAAGUAUUCUUUUACCAUUAUGAUUCUUAAUCAGCUUUCAUCUCAACUCAUGACUUCAAAUCACUUAUCUGAUUCUUUAAUUGAACUAUGAUAUGUUUUCUGAAGUUUCAAAUAUCAUACGCAUCAUCAUCAUAAUCGAUCACUUUUUCCUGUGGUACCUCCUGUCAAUGCUGUAGUAUCGACAUGGUUGAAGAAAGGGAGUCCAUAUGUCAGCAUCUCAGCUCUUCUCCCCCCUCCUCCAUCUUUUAUCUGCAAGUGUUCCUUACCCAUUACAUAACUGCAAGAAAAGCUUGGACAGAGCCUACCUAUUCUGAGCUGAGCACAAUGGGUCCCAAGAAAUUUAUUUGGAGUAUCUAAUAUGCAUAUCAUGUGCAAACUCAGCAUUUUUGGAUGGUGCAAAACCAUCAGAGAUAUAAAUAACAUACUAAUAGUACUAGCUAGAUGCAUGAGCUUUGCUAGGGAUAAAAAUGUACUCCAUCCUUCCCAUAUUAAGUGUGGCAACUUUAUCUAGAUAUGCAUAUAACUACACAUUAAAAUACAUAUGAAUAUAUGUAUAUUUGGUAAGUAGACAAAGUUACAACACUUAAUAUGAAACAGAGACAGUAUAAUGUUAUAUUAGGUUCAGCUUGACACCAAACCUUCACACACAGUGCCCCUCAGUCCACAACUGUAUAUAUAUCUAGCCGUGGCUCUGUGACACGUGACAUAUUCCAAUUUUUGCAGUAGAGAUGUAGGUGGUGGGAAGUGGUGAAAGACGUGGACUAACCACGAGUGGUGUUUCUUUAACAUUCAGCAUGCUUGUAAAUUUUCAUCCAGAAAAAAAAAAUACUUUGUUUCUACUCUCUCCGGUCCACAACGAGUGUCAAUGAUUUAGUAUAAGAGUCUUUCAACAUUUAACAAACAACUUUGUACUAAGUCUCUGACACUUAUUAUGGAUGGGAGGGAGUAGAAGAAAAAAACAAAUUUCAUGCUUCUGCAUUAAGCUCAAAAUGAUUCUUUUACACGAGCAUUUACCAAAGGCAGAUAUACUGACAUGUAUAUUUUUUUUGUAACUUUUAGAUUAAGAAACAAAAAAAAACACUCAAGAGGGCUGCGGUGCGGAAUUACCAAGAACAACCACCCACUCUCAUUAAUUUAUGGUAGUAAAGAUCAUUCGGAAAGCACAAUUUUAGACUUCUAGUCAUACCACUGAGACACCUCUCGAUUAUAGGCAGUACGAAGGCAUCUAGUACGGAGGCACCGUAGAUUCCACAUCACGUGUGUCUCAUUAAUACAGACUAUCCUUAUGGUAGUAGAUGAAGUAUUUGUUGAUAACGAGGUGUCAGUGGUGAUGUCAUUAAUCUCAAGACUACAUGAUUCCGUUCUCUGCCCGCUUUGUAUGAAUGUGCGCGCAUCAUUGUAAGUGGUGUUUCAAGUAAAGGAUAUACACGAUAGGUAUAAUUUAGGGAGACCUACCUGUCGGUGGCUGGUACUAGUGACAUUUUUAUUAUACAGUUCUCCUCCCUUCCGAUCCAUAAAGGGUUGAGGUGACUUGCACGAUCGUUGGUCUUACUGUUACAAGCUUAAUUUAGGAUAGAUAGGUCAAGAAUGACCUUUUGGGAAUUCUCACAAUUUUUUUCACCCUUUCACAUUCCUAGCAGCUAAGCCAGCGAUGUGUCCUGUGUGAUCUCACAUGUGUUCUUCUUAUUCUUUUAUUCUCUUUUGGACAACGGCCACCUGAAACAUUCUUAAGAAAAUAUUGGCUGGCUCUACAUCCUGAACUGUGCCCUUUUCUGAUAUGCUUUUUCUUUGCAUGAUGGGGUCUUUCUCCCUCACUCGGCUACCUACCUAGCUUUGCUUUCGGUCUAGAAAUUAGCCAGGAAAUCUUACCGAAAUCUAGAGCAGCCGAAUCCACCACUGACACUGAUUACCUUGGAAUCUCCAUAAUGCUCAAAAUUCGCUAAUCAUGCUGCCCACACCCACCACACCACACCGCUAGGUCCCCUGAAAACGCUGCCAGCCGAUUUUCAAUGACGGCGACCGGUACGGUCUUCGUCCUCGUCACCGGCGUCCUUGUCAGUCGUCCUUUCCGGUAGGAUAUCAGGCGAUCAGGGUUUCAAGGGGGGCUGAAGAUUGCCAUAAAAAAUGUGCCUGUGCUUGCUUCACUUUGUGCCACUAAAGAGAAGCGCGGCUCCCUGAAGAGGUCCAAUGUACCAUCAUUCCAUUCCUGACGUUUCUUAAGUUGGAAGCAUUUUGCAUCACUCUUUUGGAAGAAAGCAAAGGGAGAAGAGAUGUGUUCGGUUUGGGUUGGGCCUUUGUUUAUGUCAACCCGUUCGGGGGGUUGCGUAAUCGCGUGCGCCGGUACUGUUUAAGGAUGAACAGGUCACACUAGUCCUGAUUAAAGAUGGGAUUACAAUCAUAGGGAAGCAACCUUUCUGGUGCAAAAAAAGGAGUGGCUUUCUUUUGGGCAAAUGAUGGUGAUGCAUGGUUUCCUUCUUGCCAGGUUAGGUUAAGAUCCUCAACCUGCCAGGUCACCCAAUGAUUGAAUGGAUGAUCAUUGAUCAGCAAGGAGGAAUAGAAUGAGAGGCACAAUCCCAUCAGAUAAAAGCAAUCUUCAUCUUUAGGAGUACCAUCAUAAGCCAAUGAUUAGAUCUCAACUUAACAAGGAAAACUUUGUGCAACAAAAUGGUACACUGAUUAUUCCAGAGGACAAGUGGUUCUCUUUAUUCUCGUACAGGUGUAUCAUAUUUACAAUUUAGUUUUACAUGAUCGUCGACUUUACACUGUGCAGCGCACAAAGGAUAAGAUACUGUGUAUUUUGGGGCUGGAAUCUAAAUAUGUAGAGAUCUGCCUACAAAAAGAAAAACAAUUCUGCCAUUUAUUGGCAGUACAACAUCCUAAAUUGGAGGGGCGGGAUUCAGAUGCUGUGGUCUGAAGGUGCUUCUUGCAAAGUGCCAAAGUUUAUUCCUUAAGAGGUCCCUUCUGGUUUACUGUUCCUGUCAACCAAUAUCAAAGAGCCAUGUCCACGUUAGAAUCUCAGAUGGUUUAUGGAUUUCCACUUACUUUUUCAGCAAAAGUGACCCCAGGCUAUAAGCCUAUAAAGCAUAUACAAAAUGUGGGCUAUCUUGUCAGGAUCUCAUUUAAGAUAUAACUUUUGCAAGUGACCACACUAGGACUUGUCAGGAUCUCAUUUAAGAUAUAACUUUUGCAAGUGACCACACUAGGAUGUGAAAUAUUGGCAUAUAUCUGAAAAGAGUGCAAUACUCUGAAUAACCAAGGUUUUCUAGAAAGCACCCUGAAAGCAAUCCAGCUACUUAUCUUGUCUAGAUUUCAUGUCAGAACAAUGUGUUGUAAAGUUGCAGGAAGAAAUCAGAAAAGAAUGCAAUGUCUGAACUACAAAAUAUGUUUGCUAUCUAGUAUUUGUAUUUCUAGUCUGAAUUUCCUAGAAACCAGCAUGAAAUCAUUCCAUUCAAAGUUUCAGCAGCUCUCAACCACAGGUGUAAUUUAACAUUUGAUAUCAAACUGGUUGCCACCACAGCUAUUUGUCAACUACCAGCAACAAACUCUGCACCAUUUUUUUGGCAAAACAAUGAUAUGUUGUUCAUAAGUUCGAAGCAGUUCUUAGUCCCUGAGAUAAAGGAAUGUUAUUAGGGAAUAGCCACAUAUUGCCAUGAAUGAAAGGUAGGCUGGUAAUUUCAGAUGUUGGCACUAUGGAUGAAAGAAAAACAUGAAGACUCUAGGGAGACCAAAAAAAAUCUAGAUCAAAUAAUACAUCAUAAUAGUUUGAAUUUCCUCUAUUCAACAACUUGACCCCGUACAGGUAACGUCUGGAUUGAAAACAAUGCUUAUUGAUGUAUGAUUUGCAAUUAGUAGUGAAUUGAAUGAUGAAAAGCAGAAAGUAUCAUAUGCACUUCUAAAUUUUAAUCAUAACUCAGAUUUGUUAUGCUAUGAAAAAUAUUACUUUAAUAGGGUAGCAGAUGAGUAUUUAUAUAACUGAGCAGGGGUAGCAUUACAAUAAUUUGACACCGAAAAUGUGGCCGACUCAGGAACCUGCAAAAUGGGAACACUACUGCAGGACAUCGGCCCAGCUUUGUUAACUCAUCUGCUACCCUAUUAAAUCUCACUUCUCAAGCCAGAACCUGGCAAAACUGAGGCCAGCUACUUGAUACUAUAUGACAUUGACAUUAUUUUCUUCUAUAAUCUAUCCAAUGCUAUCCAGAUAUUCCCAAAAAGUUUGAUCGAAAAUUUAGAACGUCCAAAACAAUAUAGCCACUGUAACCCCGUUAAAUUAAUUAUGCUUUUUAAGAGUGCCUACAAUUCUAUCACGGAUUGCUGCUCCACACCCUCAAAUGCAGCUGUGAAAAUAACAGCCAGUGCGACAUCUUAACAUAUUUUAUCAUUCCAUAGCCAUUUUCUUAGAUAGAAACCUGCUUCCUAUUCCCAGGAAAUGAGAUACACAAUUUAGUGAACUGUCUAGGUUUCUUUGAAUUGGGACACAACACUUUUACUUCAGCAUCAACAUUUGACUUGCAUGGACACAAGGACCACAAUGCGCAGACAGGGCCGUCGACGGGCAUGAGCAAAGUGCUCGACCGCUCAGGGCCCUCAAAAAAAUGGGCCCCCAAAAUCGAGUAGUUAAUUAGGAUAUUAAUAGAGGGAAAAAAGAAACAAUCGAUAAUCGCGGUCAUGCACGUCUCCCGCGGAGGAAAAAUAGGAAACCGCCCUGCCGCUUCGCUCGCUGUGUGACUUCGAUCCGGCAGCGCUUCGUCUAAUGGUCUGCUUGCUGGCUUUGGAUUGCUGAUGUGCGCUUGUUGGUCAUCUCUGUGCUUCUCUCGCCUGCGUGGUUGGGACACUGCGCUUGCAUUCCGCAUUGACGGCCCGUCGCGUCCAUCUGUGUCCUCCAUCCAGAUCCGGCGAGUUGGCAACACUGUGCGCUGCGCAGGCAAUCUCUGGUCUCCACAAUCCAAUUAAUCAUUUUGCACAAGGCGAUCAAAUUCCCGAACAUAAUAAGGUCAAUAUUGUUCUCUACUUCUCUAUUGAUUCGUUACGUCAAUACAAUCGAUUUCAAUUUCCAGGCCUGAUCAAUUGAUCGAUUUUGUAAAUUGUAAUUACCAUUGAUCAGUUUAGUUAUCCGGAGUUGUCUAAGUUUUAGAACAAAUGUUUCAAGAUCGCUCCCGGGCCCCGAAUUCAUGGAGACGGCUCUGUGCACAGAUAACACCACCUUCAGAGUUUAGAUACCUUUAGCAGAUGCCCUAGCCUAAGUAGCACACAAAUUUCAGGUGAACAGAGAGCUAAUGCUUCACAUCCUCAAAAGUCAGGUUGACCUAUUGGAUCAAACCAAUUCAACCUUUAUAUACUACCGCACCCAGCUCAAACUGCAAGACUGUAGUGCAAUCCCAAAGAACGACACAGCUAAUGCAGCAAACCUCAAGGCAAGUGGGCAAUAUAUAGCCUAAGUGACAGCAGAACUGUAAUACCCCCUCCAUUCCUAAAUAUAAGAUGUUCUAGCAUUGUCCUAAGUCAAACUUCUUAAAAUUCGACCAAGUUUAUAGAAAAAUCUACCAUAAGUUUUAUUAAAUCCGUCAUGAUAUAUAUCUUCAUAGUACACUUAUUUGAUUUUGUAGAUGUUAGUACAUUUUUCUAAUAAGAACGGAAGUAGUAACAAGCAUAUAUACUCAUGAACAAUUGCUGGCAUCAACACACGGCUAACCAUGAGUACACCGAUCUAAUCUACAAUGUGCAUCGCAACUAUCUCAGCCUUGCCAAUACUGACAUACUCAAUCUUGGGUCGAAUUGAGCGGAAGUGAAUUGAACUCGAUAGCUUGGGGGCUAGAGCCUUCACCUCUGGGCUUGCGACUCGUAGAACCUGGCGAUGCGGCCGCGGUUGAGGGGCUUGGGCUUGACGGGCUUCUUCCGGCGCAGUCCGGUAAUCUCCUGCACAAGUGGGACAUGCACCAGCACCGUCCUCCACGCCACGUACCAGCCUGGGGCUCAACAAAUAACCAAAGACGAGAAAUUUCAAUCAGGAACCCACCCAGCCAGAGCGCAUACGGACGAGACGAGGAGAUGGAAAGAGCCUCCGUACUGAGUACGAUGAAGGAGAUGACGAAGGCAACGGCAAGAAAGGGGCGGAGGAUAAACAGCACGGUGAGCUCCCACGCCGCCGCCAGGUUGCCACCGGCCAUAGCGCCGCCGGCCUUUCGGUCGGGGAGAGGAAAGGGAUCAAGCAAAAGGAAUCUCGUGCUGGGAGAGGAAGGGGUCAGCAAAUGAGUCCAUGACGUGUGGGUCCCCACACAGAGGAGAGCAAGCAAGCCCGGUUCGAACAAGGAAACGUACCAGGCAAAACAGUUGGUUGCUAGGGGGUGUAACCGUGCGAACUGUAAUAGGACAGGAUUCCGACUGAGUACUGAUAAAAUCAUGUUUGCUCAUAUCCCCUUGUAAGUGUAUGGCUCCAAAUUCGAUUCGACUAUUGUUCCAAUCAGAUUAAGAUGUUUACGCAAUCCCCACAUCAGAAGGAGCCAUAGCCAAAGCCAAUGGCAAUAACCUUGUACGCUCACAUCACAUAGAACAUGAAUACAUGAUAGGCCAUGUGACUUGUUACAUGACCUAUCAGAGAUGAAUCCAAUUAAAUUUCUGGUUGCAAUUUGGCUCGCGAUACUCUGUGCACCUCCAUUUUAUGGAAGAUGCGCCAGGACAAUCAUACAACAGAAUCACAAUACCGCCACCAGCACGCACACAGGAAAACAAGAUUGGAACCGAUGACUCCUGGUGAAUGGGAUGUUGAUGUGGUCAAGAUUCAAGAUACCUUCUAAUGAGUUCCUGCUGUAAGAAGAUUUUUGCCAUCAGGCUCCGAGAAUCGUGUUGGAUGGUUGGAAACAUUUCUCAGCACUUCAGCUCAACAAAAGAAAUUGCAUCUGUUGAUGAAGCAAUCAUGCCACGCAUUCUGAAUCACUCCUAAUCCAACAUUCUUUGGCAUUCCUGCAAAAACUGAUAUAUAACCUGUGAACAGAUUAACAGUGUGAUCCCCGAAAAGAACCGCAAAAGAAGGCAAACCUUGGUACUCAUGAUGUCUUAUGUCCGCAUUUCAACAGUCUUUCCCCCACGCUUCCUCUUGGCAGGUUUUGUGGCAUCACUGGGAACUUCUGCAGCCAGGAGUUUUUGUGUAGGCAGCUGACCGAUGAAAAGAACGUUCUGUGCCCAACCGGCAUAACUCCCAAAUUUAGCGACAAAUGCAUCAGCAACAACAAUACUGAGUUUUGGUGUCAAGCUCUUGCCAGCUAGCUCAGGCAACAGGUAUUGUGUAGCAACCUGUGUUAAACUCACAUGGUUAGGUUUGAAGACUGAAACAGAAUAGGCUUUAGAAUCAUAUACUCCCUCCGUCCCAUAUUAUGACUUUCUAUUACAUGUAUCUAGACGUUUUUAUGAAUAGAUACAUCCAUAUUUGGACAAAUUUGAGUCAUUUAAUAUGGGACGGAGGGAGUAGAACAUAUGCAUAGAUUCCUUUUCCUUAGUCUGCCUCCUCAAGGUUGAAAUAUAUUUUCCAAUGCCACGCGGAUUAUUUUCAUUUCAAAAUAGGACAUUUAUUGUCCAUAAAUUUCAGUAGUGAUUGGUUUAUUUGCCCGUUUCAAAGGAUGAAAUUUUAUUUCAAAAUAGCAUCCAUGGAUCCAUCACCCAUGCAAUUUAAUCAUAAUCAACUUGGAAGUGUGUAAGAUGUUACCAUGGUCCAAAUGGCUGAAAUGAAAUUAUGUAGCUAACACCUUAAAUGGGUCUAACAAAAUAGAAAAGGACUACUGUAACUAAUUCCAACUCUGCCCAUCAAAACCACCUAAUUUUCUUACAAUGGGCAAAGAGUAAAGUGGUAGAAAGGCAAAGCAGAUUGAGCUGUUAUUACAGCAUGAAUACAACAAAUGUUUGAUCGAUAUAGUAUACCUUCCAGACAUGUGUAUCAACAGGAAUAGCCUGAUUCUUAUCCAGGGAGAACAGAGCAAUACAGGCUGCAACUUUUGGGCCAACGCCUGGCAGGGUGCAAAGACCCUCAAUCACCUCUGGAAGUUCCCUGUCACGUAACAAGGCAAGCCAUUUCUCACCACCGCCAGGCUUGGCCAUCAAUUCUGUAGCAGUGCCAACGAUGUACUUUGCCCUGCGCAUAUAUUAGCACACAGCAUUUGCUCAAAUCAGCAAAGUAUGAACUAUCUAGACACAACAGAUACUCAAUAUGAUGUUGACCAUCAAUUGAAAAUCGAUAUCUUUAUGCCUGCUAUAAAGUUUGUUUCCCCAACGUUGAAAUUUUAGUGCACAAAUAGUUAAAUGUGAAACAGAGAUUCUAUACAUACAUAUAUGUAAACAAACAGUACAACAUAGGAAUACCAAUACCAUUAUUGCCAACAUAAAUGCUCAUCGCUUGAUUUUGAUCCUCAAAGGAAAUACUGUAGAUCAAAGACAACAUAACAAUGCAACUGAACUAACAGCAGGUAGAUGGAAAUUCGCGAUCCACACGGACCACGUGACCACCUCACAGGCUCACAAGCUAGGAGUUUGAUCAUCUCAAGCAAAUGAGGCUACAAUAAAACCAGACUAGCUUGCUGAAUUCAACACAAAGAAGUACCAAUGCGUAGAGCGUAGUAUAAAUUGCAACUAGAAGCAGACAGAGAACACCAGCUGACCUGUAGCCAAAGCCGGCGUCCCGAAGCUCCUGCUCCGACACCUGCGCGAGCUGCUCGAUGGUGGGAAACCGGUGGAACACGAACCCGCCGACCUCGCCGAGCCGCUCCCCAUAGCCGGCCAGCGUCCACACCAUCUUCUCGAUCCGCGCGAUGUUGUUGUUGGAGGAGCAGAGGAACUGGAACAAGCACUCGACCGGGUCUUGCCUGAGCACCCGAGCGCCACCGCCUCCGAGCCGCGCCGCGACCUCGGCGAAGCGCGCGUCGGCGGCGGUGAACUGGCGCCAGAGGUCGGCGAGCGGGACGGUGGCAUUCAGGUAGUCGCAGAUCGCGGCGCGGGCGGUGGCCACGGAGCAAGAGGAGGUGUCGGCAUCGUCGUUGUGGAGGAGGAAGGCGAGGCCGCCGUCCGGGAGGUGGGAGAGGGAGAGGAGGUGCGAGCCCACGGCGCCGGUGAAGCGGAGCGGGGAGAGGGAGGUGCGGCGCCAGAGGAAGGUCUGUCCGGUGGGGAGAGUGAGAGGGAGGAAGAGGUCGCCGGCGGAAAGAGGGAGGGGGUGCCACUCUUCUGGUUGUGCGUCGCCGUCGAGGGGAAGGCGGCGGCGGGCGGGCGGAGGGUGCUGCUGAGGGGUUUCGAGUUUGGGGGUUUCUGAGAAUGGGGUGGGCGGUGGGGUGGAGGAGAGGACGGGAGGGAUGGGUGGCAGGGCCGGCCCGGCGAGGCGGCGGCGGCGGCGAGGGGGCAUGGCGGGGACGGCGGCGAUGCGAGGGGAGAGAGGGAGACGCAUGGUAGACGUUCG
rnacentral:lncRNA from 1 species